UUUAUUUUUUUUUUUACUUUUGUUCAUUUUAUUUUUAACUGUAAUAAUUAUUGCAAUUUGUGAUAUAUUACACCAGCAAUUUUAAGGAGAUUCAUAUUUUGUUACAGUUUGAAAAACAACGGAUAUCAAGAUGCAUGGGGAUCUCAACAUCACUAAUAUCUUCAAGAGAUGGAAAGCAAGAGAUAACAAGUAAAGUAUCUUUCUACUUGCUCAACUCAAGGGAAUGAAAGGUAAACAAUUUUCUACUUGUUGUAGAGAAAAGGUAAAAAAUUACCUAGUAUUUGUUAUGAAUAAAAUGAUAAUAUAUUUCAUAAACAUAAAGUGGUAUUUCAAAUUCUCAAAAUAGUGGGGCUAAUUAAGUGAAAAGAAUAUCAUCAUGAAAAAUGUGAAGUUUGCACUUUUGAGAAUGUGUAUAAAGAAAGUAUUACAUGCAAGUGCAUAAUUAGUUUUGGAAAAUCACAUGUUACUAUUUAUAUAUGACUUGAUGUCAUUAAAUAUUGGCUUUAACAUAUUAUCAAAGAGAGAAUAAAAAAUGUUGAGUAGCCAUUUGACAUUAAAUAUUUGGGUGAGAUCAAUUUCAUUCUUGGAAUAAAAAAUAUCUAAACUAUGUGAUGAACUUUUCCUUGACAUGUCACAUUAUAGUGAAAAAGAAGAAAUGUGAAAUACAUUUUAUGAUCCAUGCAACUUCUUUUGAUUCAAAUAUGUCAAAAUGGUGUGAAAAAAAAAAGAGUUUACUAGCCUAAUAAAAGAAAAAUGAGAUAUAUGGCUAUUUGCAUUUGGCAUGAAAUUAUGUAAAAGUACUUAAACAGGUUACACAAGCAAAUCAAGUAUAUUUAUUUGGUUAAAAAAAGUUGUGGCUUGUUAUACUUAAAAGUGUUUUUGAUGCAAAAUGAGGGGAAAAAAACUUGGUGCUAUUUGUAGAAAUGAAAAAUCAAAUUAUUAUUUUCUAACUUUAACGUGGAGGUUGAACUAAUUAUUUUAGUUUCAACUAGUGCAAAGGUGAAUGAUCAAUUGGUUUAUGUUGAGAAAUUGAUUUCUCUAAUUUUGAGUUAUUCUGAUAGCACCAAAAUUUAUUGGUAGAGUAUAAAUCAUUAUUAUAAUAUAAAUUCAGACCAUAAGGAGAAAAAAUACAAUAUUGUAAGAUCAUAUCGAUCAACGGUAUACCGAUAUUAAUUGUGUUAACUUUGUGAUAAUUUUGCAGAUUCAAAACUAAGGCCUUAGCAAGAAAAUGGUAUGAAUCACAUUUAGAGGGAAGGAAUUGAAGCUCAAAAAUCUAAGUCAUAUAUGAGGAAACCCAACCUGGGGACUAGAGAUCCUAUAAUCAGGUUCAAUGGACAGAACGAAUCAUAUGAUGACUUGUUGUAAAUGCACUAUUAUUUUAUCCCUCUCUAUAGUGUGAGUGCAUUUUGUUCCUGUAAUGAUUCUGAAGGUUGAGUCUAAGAACUCUUAAUGAAAUUUUGUAUCUCGUAUGAGUGGGGUGUCGAAAUUAUAGGACCACCCUUGAUAGAUUUUACCUAUGUGAGUAUGGAAGUAGGCCACUUCCUAGGAGAAUGGGGCUUAUUCUCAAAAACGCUCAUGAAAAAUUGGGAUAGCACAUGGACGUAACGUGUUGGCUAUUAAAGCUUAUGUCAACACGUUGAUUGUUGUGUAUAAGCAGUAAUUCCUUAUAUCCCUUAAGGAAUCAUAGUUCAAGUCUGAGACCACUACUGACUCUCGAGUAAAGUUUACUGUUUUACUAAGUGGAGGUUCAAUGCAGAGCACAACUUUAUUAUGCAUAAUAAUCUACCUUCAACUAAAUUGGUGAACUCUCUUAUUUCAAUAUUAGAAUGAGUGGGGGAAUGUUGGUGCAUUUUAUUAUUAAAAUAAAUUAAAGUGCAUGACAUUAGUAGACAUAAAGUGGAGAAAGUGAUGUCAUUAUUUUUGUAACUCACCACAUUAUCUUUUUAAGUUAGUGGGUACAAAUUAUAGUAAAGAUGACCAUUAGUUCUUGUAACCCAUAUGGUCAUUAGUUCUUGUAACUCUCAUGGAUAUUAGUUCUUGUAACUUUUAUGAUCAUUAGUUUCAUGUAACUCUUGUAACAUUUGUAACCUAUAGACCAUUCAUGUACUCACUUUACUACAUCAUAUUUUUCCUAUUCAACUAAUUCGGAGUUGUUUGAGUUGUACAUCAUUGAUGGGUUGUUGUAUCCUGGAGGGGACAAGUCACGAGAUAUACUCCUGGAUCGGUGUAGAUUAUGCCGCAGUGGGCUUGAAUCUCCUUAAAGAGAGAGAGAUAUCCACGCCUCAGCCAAGAAGUAGAUAAUUUUAUUUUCUUCAUUUUUGUUCAUUUUAUUUUCAACUGUAAUAAUUAUUGUAAUUUGUGGUAUAUUACACCAAUAUUUCCUAAAUCUACAGGAUCAAUGUGCCUUAAAAAUAAAUGAAAACGUACGUAAUAGAUUUCUUAAAUAUUAUGAUCAUGGUAAGAUCACACAACUCUCAAAAUUGAUCUGUGACCUUGCACUAGUAUGAACCUAUCCUUGUGGGUGGGUUUGGGGGUGGGGAUGGGGGAUGGGUGGGGUGUUCGGUAGUGUUAUUUUACGGGUAUAAAAUCUAUAUGUUCUAUACAAGCUUCAACACUAAGUUCAAGAAUAUUUUUUUAAGAACUACAAUGAAGUUCAACAUCUUCAAACACAAGUUCAAAUGAAUAUUCAAAUGAACUAUCAAAAUGAAGUGUGUAUCAACUUUUUAAGAAAUAAAGAGGAAUUAGAAAUUUAAGAACCAAGUCUACCGAUUUCACGAUUUGUCCUUAAUAAAUUAAUUCUCCUCAAGUACCCAAGGUUAUGGAAUUCCGAGAUAAAACUGUUCACUUUUUGAAAAUAACGGUACCUCAAACUUUCAUAAACUCCAAACACACUUAAUGGUUUGAUAAUCACAUGAGAGUUUUAGAAGAAGAAGAAAAUUAUUUUCAACUCAAAAAUCGUACCUUUACCUAAGAAAUAGUUUAGGUAUUUAUAACCAUUAAGUGUCCCUUCAGCAAGGAUGCAAUGGUUCAUGAAAAGGGACACGUUUUUGAAAUAAUAUGUCACUUGCACACGGUGUGUGCUGGUGUCACGACCUAAAAAUUAGGAUCAUAAUGGCACUUGUCCAGGUGUACCUUGAUAAGUAAGCUAUCACCCAAACUAAUACAAAAUGAGAAGAAGAUAGAAAUAUCCCAAGGUAAGGCUUCUAGCUAGAAUGAAGCCGAACUAUAUAAAUAGUCAUAACAAUGUGGAAAGAACUUAUCCAAACUACCAAUCAUGCCCAAACCAGGUGUCAAUAACGUAAGAACUACUAAUACAAUCCAAGAGUCAAAUACACCAAAAAAAUAACCACAAAGGAAUAAUAACUAUCUCCGAAUACUAAUAAAGACAUAGCUAGUAUAGAAAGAUAGAUGUGAACUUUGGAUGCAUGAAUGUCCAACCGCUACCUUAAAAGCUCCAACAAUCGCCCGAAUCAAGUAAGUUGAGGUGCACUCGGGCUAGGACCUGGAUCGAAAGGGCACAGUAGGCAUGAGUACGGUCCACUUGUACUCAGUAGGUAUCAUAGGUCGACCAAGAAAAGUAGUAAAUAAAGCAUACAAAAUAUACACUAAGGGCACGUCACCUGCAAUCAGAAAAUGCCCCACAAUGAUAGCCCACACUGCUUGCACUAACAGUUCUAAUAUAUCUCAUAUUUAUUAUAAAAACACACCAAGGUAUAGAACACGAGUAUACAUUAUGUCACAUAUAAAUAGAACAAGAGAGAACAUGUAGAUAUAAGAUCAUCAAUACAAGUAAAGGAAGGUAAGACAAAUGCAUAGAUGACAAGUCAAUAAGGAAAUACAACACAACAUAAACAUAAUAAGAUAUGUGCAAUGUAUAUGAUGAUGAUGAUAAUGAUGAUGCACGAGGUCGUUGCACAACCUCCGGGAUCGUUGCACAAUUCCCGUAUACACUUACGGAGCUAAAGCUUCCCGACGUAGGACCCAUGGGGGGUUCAUUAACCCAUAUACAAUCAACAUAUCUCCUAUCUCCUUUUCGACAUAUCCCUCGAAAAGGGUUUUAUAAGGCGUUACAAUAUUUUUUAAAAAGGUGUUGCCAGUGUUUCUCAGAUGUUGCCAAGGUGGUACCAAUGUUUCAUGAAUGAGUAUGAUAUGAAGAUGUAAUGCUCACAACCAAUCACAAUGAGUAUUUCCACAACCAAUGACAUGAUAUAAUUCCACACCCAACCACAAUGAUACAUUCCCACAGCGACGUUAGCCAAUAUCCACUUAUUAUUUUUAUCUCAUCCAUGAAUUUUCACAUGUCUCAUAUGCCAAUAAAGUAUGAAUAUAAUCAUAAUACACCAAUGGUACCACAUUAAAAAACACAAUACAAUUAUUCACACAUAUUCAAAACUAUCAAUAUCACAUAGGACCCCACACGGUCAAACAUAUCAUAUAAUAUCUCAAUUUCGAUAAUUACAUCACAUAUAGGCCCCAUACGGGCACAACACAUAGAUAGCUAUUUUUCAUGAUUAGUUCCUACCCUUAACAUGCAUUUUAUACCAUAAUUUAUUACCCAACCCAGUUUGAAGAGUUAAGCCAUAACCUACCUCGAAAGUCGAAACUGGUCCGCUAUACUUGAACCCGCGACCUUACCUUUCACGAACAAUCUUGAACUUCACUAAAAAUAUCAAAUAUGAAAUCUACGCGUCAAAACAAAACCUAUGACACUCAUAUUGACUACUUUUGGUUUGGGGUUAAAACGAACCCCCAAAAUGAAUUUUCGAUUAAAAAGGGCAAAAUUGAAACUUUACUUCAAAAAAUGUUCCUCAUAUUUUUAGAAACCUACAGCUGAAAACCCUAGUUAAAUCGAGUUAAAAAUGAGGUUCAAAUCAAAGAAAAACUAUUUUUGAGUUUUACCGGGUAAAAUCUUUGAAAUUCAGAUUAAAAAUCAAGAAUCGAAGUUGUUUUGAAGGUUAAAUUGAUGUAAAACUAGUAAUUAUAAGAUAAAAGUAUUAUUCAAGUGAAAAAGAAUGAAAUUUGGGUUUAAAAUCAUGCCUUAAAAUUUUUAGGGUUUUGAAAAAUUUAUCAAGAAAAUGGGUGAAUUCUUACCUUUAAUCCGUAAUAAAACCAAGAAAAAGGUAUUAAUCUAGCUUCCCAAGCUCCCACAAACUUUACUUUUAAGCUCUCACACUAUUUAGGGUUUAACUUCCAAGAGGCAAGAAAAAAAAAGAGCAAAAUAGGGCAAGAAAAAGUUAUUUAUCAGUACAGGUUUUUCUGCACUACUGUCUAAAAAGUUGUUUUUUUUUUAAAACUCAAUCUGGACUUCAACGGGGUGCCCGAAAUAUGUUCGGAGUCCGAUUUAUACAAACGAACUAUGUAACCACUCUAAAUUCGAUGUUUCGAACGUAAUGGAGAUAUCAGAUUUUCAAAAAAAUUUCAUUUUCAUAAAAUUGACCCCCAAAAUCCGAAAUCACAAUUUUCCAAACUGAGGGUCGAAAUGAGAUUUAAAAGCCGUAAAAUUAUACCAAAUAUGCUAACACCCUAAAAUUGAUAUUCCAGAUCUAUUGGCGAAGUCGAAUUUUUCAUCCGAGAUCAUUUCGAUCAAAUGUGGGCCCCACAUCCAUAUUUUGAAUUUUCCAACUUUUUGAUCAACAGGUCGAAACCGGGACCCGAACCAAAGGUCUACCUAGCCUAAAAUUGAUAUUCCAGAGCUUCUGGCGUAGUUCGUUUGGUCAUCCAUCGGAUAGAUCAAAAUAUAUCCAUAUAAGUCUAAAAUAAGGCUCUCAAAGCCAUCAAAAAACACAAUAUUACAUAAAUGAUACCAAAAUUCAUCGAAAAUCAUGUCAAUCUCUCCCACACCCUGAAAAUAUCAACAUGCAACUAUGGGGAGGAGUAAAUUAGUCAAAUCACACAAAAUCGCAAAUUUCACAUAUUUCAUCAAAUUUUUAGGUCGUUACACAUCCAUCACUAAAAAUCUAGUUCGUCAUCGAACUAAGGCAAGAAAUACCUGAAUCAGUGAAAAGCUGGGGAUAGAACUACGCAUAUCAAACUCAACCUCCCAAGUAGCUUUAUCUACAGGUCGAUGUCGCCACAGGAUCUUAACCACAGGGAUCACUCUAGAGCGCAACCGCCUCAACAAAGGACAACCGCUUAUCUAAUCGAAUCGAAUCCCAAUGAAUGACAUGAGACUCAUCAGGAAUAUAGCGACAAAGUAUAGAAACAUGAAAAACUAGAUGAAUAGUUGAUAGAUCAGGGGGAAAAUCAACCUCAUAGGCCACAUCACCAAUAGUCCGAAGAAUCUCAAAUGGACCAAUAUACUUGGGGCUAAGCUUGCCCCUCUUCCCAAACCUCAUCACACCCUUCAUAGGUGAAACUCGAAGAAAAACACGAUCACCAACACCAAAUCUUAAUGCACGAAGUCUACGAUCAGCAUAACACUUCUGCAUACUCUGAAUCGCUCUAAGUCUAUCUUGAAUGAUUCGGACCCUAUCCAAAGACUAACGAAGCAAGUCCAUACCUCGAGGUCUCAACUCUGACACAUCGAACCAACCUACUAGAGAGCAACAGCGCCUACCAUACAACGCCUCAAACGGAGCCAUAUCAAUACUGGAAUGGUAGCUAUUAUUAUAUGCAAACUCUGCUAAAGCCAAAUGCUGCUCCUACUGGCCACCAAAAUCCAUCACGCAUACGUAAAAUAUAUCCUCCAAAACUUGUAUACUCCACUCUGACUGGCCAUCAGUAUGGGCGUGAAACACUGUACUAAGAUCCACUCAAGUACCCAACUCAUCCAGAAAAGUCUUCCAAAAGUGAGAUGUGAACAUAGGACCUCAAUCUGAAAUAAUAGAAACUGGCACACUAUGCAGAUGCACAAUCUCAUAAAUGUAGAUACGACUAACCUCUCAGCACUAAAUGAGACCUGAACCAAAAUAAAAUGAGCUGACUUGGUCAAUCGAUCCAGGAUGACCCAAACACUGUCAGAACCAUGAGAUGUACGAGGCAAACCAGUCACAAAGUCUAUAGUGAUGCGUUCCCACUUCCACUCAGGAAUGGGUAAACUCUGAAGCAAACCACCAGGUCUCAUAUGCUCGGUCUUCACCUGCUGACAACAUAGGCAACGAGCCAUAAAAUCUGCUAUAUCUCGCCUCACACCACCCCACCAGUAGUGUUGUCUCAAAUCACGAUACAUCUUAUUCACACCUGGAUGGAUAGAAUAUCUGGAAUAAUGGGCCUCCUCCAAGAUUAACCUAAGCUAGUCACCCACUUUCGGCACACAAACUCGGCCUCUAAUUCGCAAAACUCCAUUUGAAUCAUGUGAGGCUUCCUUAUCUUCUCCACUCAAUACCUUGUCUCAACUCAACCUCAAUCCAACAUCAUUAAACUGAUGAGCUCGAAUCUACUUCAUCAAAGAAGAUGUAGCAUCCACAAAUGCCAAAAUAUGCCCCGGUGUUGAAAUAUCAAGUCUAACCAUCUGGUUAGCUAAAGACUGAACCUCUAAGGCCAAAGGCCUCUCCUGGGUCAAAAGAUAUGCCAAGCUACCUAUGCUAGUCGACUUUCGACUCAACGCAUCCGCAACAACACUAGCCUUUCCCGGAUGGUAGAGAAUAGUCAAGUCAUAAUCCUUAAGCAACCCAAGCCAACGGCUCUACCUCAUAUUAAGAUCUCGCUGAUUAAAGAAGUACUGAAGGCUAUGAUGAUCUGAAAAAAUCUCACAACGGACUCCAUAUAAGUAGUGCCUCCACAACUUCAAGGCAAACACAACUCCAAAUCAUGGGUAGGAUAAUUCCUCUCAUAAGGCUUCAAUUGAUGAGAUGCAUAAGUAAUUACCUUGCCCUCCUGCAUCAACACGACACCUAACCCAACACUUGAAGCAUCACAAAAGAUAGUAAAGCCCACGCUCGCCUUAUGCAAAGCUAAUAUAGGAGCUGAAGUCAACAAAUUCUUGAGUUUCAGAAAGCUCGCCUCACAAGCAUCGGACCACAGAAAAGAAAUCUUAUUCUAGGUCAACUUGGUCAAUGGACUGUAAUUGAUGAAAAACCCUCAACAAAAUGUUGAUAAUACCCAGCCAAACCAACAAAACUCUGAAUCUCAGUGGGCGAAGUAGGUCUAGCCCAGUCACGAACCACAGCAACCUUGGCUGGAUCAACCAUAAUACCUUUCUUAGUCACCACAUGACCCAAGAAAGAAAUAGACUCCAACCAAAACUCCCACUCAGAGAACUUAGCAUACAAUUUCUCAUCCUUCAAUCUCUGAAGCACAAUUCGGAAAUGCUCAUCAUGCUCAACCUCACUCGUGGAAUAAACCAAGAUAUCAUCUAUAAUACAAUAACAAAAGAGUUAAGAUACGAUCGAAACAUUUGGUUCAUCAACUCCAUGAAUGCGGCAGGGGCAUUGGUCAACUUAAAGGACAUGACCAAGAACUCAUAAUGGCCAUAUCGAGUCCAAAAAGCAGUUCUCGGAAUAUCCGAAUCUCUAAUCCUCAACUGGUGAUAACCAGACCUCAAAUUAAUCUUUAAAAAAACCACAGCACCCUGGAGCUGAUCAAAUGAAUCAUCAAUGCGAGGAAGAGGAUACCUAUUCUUAACCGUCACCUUAUUCAACUGUGGAUAAUCAAUACAUAUCUGCAUAGACCCAUCCUUUUUUUUUACAAACAAGAUAGGUGCACCCCAAGGUGAAACACUAGGUCGGAUAAAUCCCUUACCCAACAACUCCUGCAACUGAUCCUUUAGUUUUUUCAACUCUGUUGGGGCCAUCCUGUAAGGAGGGAUAGAAAUGGGCUUGGUGCCCGGCUUAACAUUAAUAGCAAAAAUCAUUAUCUCGAUCUAGAGGCAUACCAGGCAAGUUCGUAAGGAACACGUCCAUAAAAUCAUAGACAAUACGGACAGAAUCUAAAGAAAGAAGAGAAACAACACUGGUGUCAUGAAUAUGGGCCAAGUAAGAUAAACAUCCCCUCUCAACCAAUUUACGACCCUAAACAUAAGAUAUAAUCCUCUUAGGACCCGAAUGAAGUGCACCCUUCCAAGCUAUCCUUGGCACACCCGGCAGAGCUAAAGUCAUGGUCUUGGAAAAAUAAUAUAAGAUAGCAUGAUAAGGAGACAACCAAUCCAUACCUAAAAUAACAUCAAAAUCGAUCAUAUCUAACACAAGCAAGUCUAUCAAAGUCUCACGCCCGGCAAAAGUCACAACACAAGAUCAAUGAGCCUGAUCCACCAUGAAAGAAUCACCUACCGGGGUAGAUACAUGAAUAGGCAUGGAAAAAGGGUCACUAACAGAAUCAAAACUCGAAGUAAAAUAUAUGGGCACAUAGGAGAAAGUCGACCCGGGAUCAAAUAAUACAAAUGUAGGUCUGAAAUAAAUGGGAACAAUACCUGUAAUCACAGCAUUAGAAGCCUCUACCUUAGGUCUGGCUGGUAUAGCAUAACACCGACCAUGACCACCAACUGCCUGGGUAGCCCUACGACCACCAAUUGCCUGAGUGGACCCACAGACACCUCCAUGAGCUCUACUACCUCUACCUCUUCCACCUCUGGUAGUACUCUUACCCCUCACAGAUGAAAUAAGAGUAGCUUGAAUCACCUGGUGGGGAAAGUCCCUGGCCACAUGGCUAAUCUCAUCACAUACAUAAUAACUUCUACGACUAGUCUCAAUAGAAGAAGGAACAACUGGGCCCGAACGGCCACCCUGAAUUGCUAGAUUGAAAGGUCCACCACCUAAACUCUAUAAUGCCGCCUGUACUGGCCUACCAUGGUAACCACGAGAACCUCUAAAAUUUCUGCCUUGAGAGGUCUGACUCCUGAACUCACCAAAAUAUCGCACAUUCUUGGCGCCUCCAUAAGAUGCACCAAGAAUACCCUCUAUCAUCUUAGGAUGAUCCAUAAUACUCUGAAAAGGAGCCCCAAACACAACCAUCUGAGACGUAGCCAACUGAAGAAAGACAUCCAAACCCUUCACAAACUUUUGAAUAUUCUCAGACUCAGUAGAAAUGCUAUCAUAGGAAUAUCUGGAUAAGGCAUGAAAGUGCGCCUCAUACUCAGUAACUGUCAUGAAGCCAUGCUCCAAAUGAUCAAACUCGUCCCGCAUACGGUCUGUUAAACUAAAAGGCAUAAAUCUCUCUAGGAAAGCCUCAGUGAACUGAUCCCAAGUCAUCUCAGGAGAUUCACGGGGUCUAACACUGACAAGCGACCUCCACCAAUCUCGCAUUGCAUCUCUCAACUGAUAAAAGGUAUAAGCAACUCCAUAAGACUCGAGUGAACCCAAAUUAUGCAACUUCUCUCGGCAAUCAAUCAAAAACUCAUAGGCAUCCUCGCCCACUGCGCCACUAAAUCUGGGAAGACCCAAUCGAGUAAACCUCUCAAACCUCUUCUGAUCCUCAGAAGACAUCACUGCACUAGCCAUAAGAGAGGGCAUAGUAAAUCCGGCAGACUGUGAUCCCAUCUGGGGAGGUAACAUGGAUGACGGUUGGGCUCCUGAUCUUAGAAACCCAUAGUCAGAUAUCGGUACUGAAGGAGGAAUAGGACUCGAGGUCUGAGGAGUACCUAAACCAUAAGCAGGUACGACAGGAGGGUCCACACUCUGAACUGGAGGAACACCUAGCAUAACCAAAGGAGAACCAUUUAGACGGGUCAACAGAUGCACCAACAAUUCCUCCAACACUGGGGCAGACAAACUCUAAAGAACUGGGCCCACCCCUCCAACCUGCUCAACCCGAGGCUAAGGAUAAAUUUCCCUAGCACUCCUCAUAGAUGGGGUUGUACCAUAAGGUCAUCCCCUCCCUCAAGUUCGUCUAUGAAUCGAGGCUCGUCCUCAGAGUGAAGGCUCUGCAUCACUACUCUCGUGGGACCUAGUCAACACCAUAUACGCAGAGAGAGUGAAACAUAACUCAGAACACAAGAUAUGGAAAAACUUUGCAUGGUAAGGAAUAAAAAUAAGAAAAGUUUCCUAAAGACAUUCUAUAGCCUUUCAAAGAUAGAUACGGACGUCUACGUGCCGAUCUGUGAGACUCUAUUAGACAUCUCGUUCUUACACCAUUAAGACCAAUCAAACCUGGCUCUGAUACCAAUUUGUCAUGACCCAAAAACUAGGGUCAUGAUGGUACUUGUCGCAGCGUACCUUAACAAGUAAGCCUAUCACCCAAACUGAUACGAAAUGAGAAAAAGAUAGAAAUAUCCCAAGGUAAGGCUUCUAGCUAGAAUGAAGCCGAACUAUAUAAAUAAUCAUAACAAUGCGGAAAGAGCUUAUCCAAACUACCAAUUAUUCCCAAAACCAGGUGUCAAUAGUGUAAGAACUACUAAUACAAUUCAAGAGUCAAAUACACCGAAAAAGUAACCACAAAGGAAUGAUAACUGUCUUCGAAUACUAAUAAAGACAUAACUAGUAUAGAAAGAUAGAAGUGAACUUCGGAUGCAUGAAUGUCCAACCGCUACCUUGAAAGCUCCGACAAUCACCUGAAUCAAGUAAGCUGAGGCACACUCGAGCUAGGACCUACACCGAAAGGGCGCAGUAGGCAGGAGUACGGUCCACUUAUACUCAGUAGGUAUCAUAUGCCAAUCUAGCAAAGUAGUAAAUAAAGCAUACAAAAUAUAUGCUAAGGACACGUCACCUGCAAUCAAAAAAUAUCCCACAAUGGUAGCCCACACCGCUUGUACUAACAGUUCUAAUAUAUCUCAUAUUUAUUACAAAAAUACACCAAGGUAUAGAACACGAGUAUACAUUAUGUCACAUAUAAAUAGAACAAGAGAGAACAUGUAGAUACAAGAUCAUCAAAUACAAGUAAAUGAAGGUAAGACAAAUACAUAAAUGACAAGUCAAUAAGGCAAUACAACACAACAUAAACAUAAUAAGGUAUGUGCAAUGUAUAUGAUGAUGAUGAUGAUGAUGAUGAUAAUGAUGAUGCACGAGGUCAUUGCACAACCUCCGGGAUUGCCGCACAAUCCCCGUAUACACCUAUGGAGCUAAAGCUUCCCGACGUAGAACCCAUGGGGGGUUCGUCAACCCAUAUACAAUCCACAUAUCUCAUAUCUCUUUUCUGGCAUAUCCCUCAGAAAGGAUUUUAUAAGGUGUUACAAUAUUUUUUUUAAAAAGGUGUUGUCGGUGUUUUUCAGAUGUUGCCACGGUGGUACCAAUAUUUCAUGAAAGAGUAUGAUAUGAAGAUGUAAUGCUCACAACCAAUCAAAAUGAGUAUUUCCACAACCAAUCACAUGAUAUAUUUCCACACUCAACCGCAAUAAUACAUUUCCAUAACCACGUGAGCCAAUAUCCACUUAUUAUUUUCGUCUCAUCCAUGAAUUUUCACAUGUCUCAUAUGCCAAUAAAGUAUGAAUAUAAUCACAAUACACCGAUGGUACCACAUUAAACAACAUAAUACAAUUAUUCACACGUAUUCAAAGCUAUCAAUAUCACAUAGGACCCCACACGGUUAAACAUAUCACACAAUAUCUCAAUUUUGAUAAUUACAUCACAUAUAGGCCCUCACACGGGCACAACACAUAGAUAGCCAUUUUUCAUGAUUAAUUCCCACCCUUAACAUGUAUUUUGUACCAUCAUUUAUUACCCAACCCAGUUUGAAGAGUUAAGUCAUAACCUACCUCGAAAGUCGAAACCGAUCUGCUACACUUGAACAUGCAACCUUACCUUUCACGAACAAUCCUGAACUUCAUUAAAAACAUAAAAUAUGAAAUCUAUGCGUCAAAACAAAACCAACAAUACCCAUAUUGACUACUUCUGGUUUGAGGUCAAAACGAACCCCCAAAAUGGGUUUCUGAAAAAGAAGGGCAAAAUCAAAACUUUUCUUCAAAAACAUGUUUCCCAUAUUUUUAGGAACCUGUAUUUGAAAAUCCAAGUUAAAUCGAGUUUAAAACGAGGUUCAAAUCGAAGAAAAAUCAUUUUUCAGCUUUACCAAGUAAAAUCUUUGAAAUCCGGGUUAAAAUCAAGAAUCGGAGUUGUUUUGAAGGUUAAAUUGAUGAAAAACUAGUAAUUAUAAGAUAAAAGUAUUAUUCAAGUGAAAAGAAGUAAAAUUUGGGUUUAAAAUCAAGCCCUAAGAUUUUUAGGGUUUUGAGGAAUUUAUCAAGAAAUUACUAACAAAAUGGAUGAAUUCUUACCUUUAAUCCGUAAUAAAACUAAGAAAAAGGUGUUAAUCUAGCUUCCCAAGCUCCACAAACUUUACUUUUAAGCUCCCACACUAUUUAGGGUUUAACUCCAAGAGUCAAGAUGAAAAAUGAGCAAAAUAAGUAAAGAGAAAGUUAUUUAUCCGUGCAGGUUUUUCUGCACUGCUGUCUAAAACGCUGUUUUUUUUAAACUCAAUUCGGACUUCAACAGGGUGCCCGGGAUUCGUUCGGAGUUCGAUUUAUACAAACAAACUAUGUAACUACACUAAAUUCGAAGUUUCGAACGCGAUGGCGAUAUCAGAUUUUCAAAAAAAUGUCAUUUUCACAAAAUUGACCCCCGAAAUUCGAAAUCAUAAUUUUUCAAACCGAGGGUCAAAAUGAGAUUUAAAAGCCGUAAAAUCAUACCAAAUAUGCUAACACCCUAAAAUCGAUAUUUCGAAUCUGCUGGCAAAUUUGGAUUUUCCAUACGAGUUGUUUCGAUCAAAUGUGGGUCCCAUACCUAUAUUUUCAAUUUUUCAACUUUCCGAUCAAUAGGUCGAAAUGAGCUCGGGUGCACCGGGACCCGAACCAAGGUCUACCUAGCCUUUAAUUGAUAUUCCAGAGCUGUUGGCGCAGUCCGUUCAGUUAUUCAUCGCACAGAUCAAAUGUAUCCAUAUAAGUCAAAAAUAAGGCUCUCGAAGCCAUCAAAAACCAUAAUAUUGCAUAAAUGAUACCAAAAUGCAUCGAAAAUUAUGUCAAUCACUCCCACACCCCGAAAAUAUCAUAAUGCAACUACGAAGAGGGGUAAAACAGUCAAAUCACAUAAAAUCACAAAUUUCACAUAUUCCAUCAAAUUUUUAGGUCGUUACAACUGGACCUGCAGCCGCAUAUGACGUUUGGCGCAAACCAAUGGCUUCUACGCUAGACCUGCGCCAAGUCUACGCCCGACCUACACGCGCAGGUCGUAUUUUGCCGAAAUUUCCAUUAAACUUUGGGAUUAAAACUUCACUUGUUUUUCAAGUUUCAAUUAAACUUUGUCCAAAAUAUUUAUCUAUCAAUCAUUUUUUAAAGCCAAAGCUGAGCAACAACGGCAUGAGUCAUCUCUUGUUCUUGCCUCACUAUGCACUUAAAGGGGUGUUUCUCAAUAAAAACAUAAGAAAUUUUCUUUCCCCUACUAAUGUGAGAGAACUUGACUUUCCUAAGUGAAACUUCACAUUCCCUCCAAUUUGUUCCCUCCAUUUUUCAUUUACACAUCAACUUAGAAUCCAAUAGGUAGAAACUAAGGGGAUACCACUUUGUUUGAAAAAUAUUGUUGGGUGUGAGAAUAAAAUCCGAUAUUGAUAGCUGAUCAAAAAGAUUGAGAAACUAUAGAUGAGGUAUAUGUUAAUGGUGUAAUUUUUGAGGAAAAUCAUACUCAUUUGGUCCAAAGAGACAAUAUUAUAUUAAGAGCAUUUUUGGACUGAUUUAACCCACUGAAAUAAACAAUGAAAACGCAUGCAUUGACAUAAUCGCAUUUAGAAAAUGCAGUCAUUAGCAAUCCCAAUCUAUUAAAUAGUAUGUCCGCUGAUAGUUAAACCAACUUGGCUAAUUAUUAUAUUAAUUAGUACAUUAAUAGUCUUCUUAUUAUUUAAUUCAUUCAAGCUUUACAUCCAUGGAUAUGUCAUUUGCCUAGUGUCGUGGAUCAUACCAUCACCAUAAGUAGACUUUUUCCCACAGGCAGCCACUUUUGGACAAGUUCAAACCUUUGCACAUAUCCAGUAUCCUAUGUAUAUUAUUAAAAGUAGUCAUGCAAACACAUAAAUUAUAAGUUAUACGAAUCGUCAUUUUGUUAGAUAGUUAAUGAAUAUUUACAUCAUCGGGUUAUUUUACCUGUUGCGGCAUGUAAUUUAUUUUACGAAAAAGGGCCUAAAAUGUCCUUCAACUAUGUAAAAUGGUGUAAAAAUGUUAUUCGUCUACCUAUUGGGCCUAAAAUGCCCUUUUCGUCUACCUAUUGGACCUAAAAUAUCUUUCUCACCUAUCUAUUGGGUCUAAAAUGCUCUUCUCAUCUACCUAUUGGGCCUAUUUUGCCCUUUUACUUAGGCAAAUUAUAUGAAAAGGUUAUCCAUAAAACUUAAUUACAUAAAUAAUAGUACUUUUUUUAUAUUAAAAAAAUUAAAAAAAUCUUCAUAUAUAGCCAUUUUAAGAAAUCAAAAAAGAUAAUUAUAAUUCUUAAUUUAAUAUAUGCAAUAACUAAUUAUCAAUUCACCUUAAUUUAAUAUAUAUAUUUUCAAUCGUCAAAUUAAAAGUAGAAAAGAUAAUCCUUGAUUUCAAAUAUUUUUCUCUCUUAUAUUCAAAGUUCAUAUAUUUUUAAAUAAACUAAGUAUUCCAUUAUUUGUUUUUGUAUGUUUCGUUUUAUUUUCACAUAUGUUAAUCAUCUAGUAUUAUUUUAUUAUUGUGUAUUUUUAAUUCUAUUGUACUGGGGUAACCAAAAAUUUUUAUGGAUAAAUAUUUAUGGAAUAAAAAUUAUUCUGUUGGAAGUACAGAUAUAUAACAUAUUUUUGUUGUAUAAAUAUAAUUAAUAUAAAAGUCGGAUUAUUAUUAUAUUUUUUUAUAUAAUUUAUGAGAUAAAUAUUCAUGAUAUUUUUAAUAUAAUUUUUGCACCAUUUGAUAUAAUAUCAAACACCAUUUGAUAUUAUAUCAAAUGGUCCAAAAAUUAUAUCAAAAAUAUAAUAACAAUCUGACUUUGACAUUAAUUAUAUUUAUACAACAAAAAUAUAUGAUAUAUCUGUACUUCUAACAUAAUGAUUUUUAUUCCAUAAAUAUUUAUUCAUAAAAAUUUAUGGUUAACCCAUUACAUUAGAAUUAAAAAUACACAAUAAUGAAGUAAUACUAGAUGAUUAACAUCCAUAAAAAUAAAAUGAAACAUAUACGAGCAAAUAAUGAAAUACUUAAUUUAUUUAAAAAUAAUUAAAUUUUGAAUAUAAGAAAGAAAAAACUUUGAAAGCAGGGAUUAUCUUUUCCACUUUUAAUUUUGAAGAUUGAAAAUAUAUUUCUUAAAUUAAGGUGAAUUGAUAAUUAGUUAUUGCAUUAAAUUAAGAAUUAUAAUUAUCUUUUUUUAUUUUUUAAAAUGGUUGUAUAUGAAAAAGAAAAUUAUUUUUAUAAUGUUAAAAAAGUAGUAUUGUUUAUGUAAUUAAGUUUUAUUGAUGGUCUUUUCAUAUAAUUUGCCUAAAUAAAAGGGUAAAAUGGGCUCAAUAGGUAGAUGAAAAGGGUAUUUUAGGCCUAAUAGAUAGGUGAGAUGGUAUUUUAGGUCUAAUAGGUAGACGAAAAGGGCAUUUUAGGCCCAAUAGGUAGACGAAUGACAUUUUUACACUAUUUUACACAGUUAAAGAAAAUUUCAAGCCCUUUUCCAUUUAUUUUAUUUCAAAAGUACAAAUCUCAUAUCUAAAGUAAAUUAAUUACAUAUAAAUAUUAAUUAAUACUUAAGUGAUCUGAUAAAAUGAAACAAUUCUUAUAUUGAUGAUGUAUAUAAUAACUUAAACUAGUGAAAAUAUCCGUGCUUCUCGCGGUUAUAAAACAUAUUAUUUUUACAGUUAUGAAAUAAUUUCUUAAUAACCUUAUAAUUUAUUCCGAGUGUAAUUUUAUGCUUUAAAAAUUUUUACGAAAUUUUUCUUUUUCUAUAGUGGUACUUGGCUAGCUACUCAUUCAUAUAAUAUUCAUAUUUCAGGCAUACUAGUUUUUAUGCAUUAAUAAUUGUUUUUAAAAAAAUCUUUUGACAUUAAGGCUAAGACAGUUAAAGAAUAUACAAAAUACAGUGUCAUAAUAAAGGCUAAAUCUAAAAGUAUGUUUGAAAGAAAUGGUAGGAAAUUAGAAAAGCUAAUUAAAGAAUAAUAAAUACAUAUGUGAAGAACUAAUUACUUCUUAUAAAUUCAUGUAAUGUAAUGUAUAAUUAUGUUACCUAUUAUGGUCAUUAAUUGUCUAAUUGAAUUACACUAAAUGCUAUGAGCAAAUGAAAAUUUCAUCUCAAAAAGGUUUUAAAAUGAGAAAGUAACGAUAUAGCAAGUUAAAAGAAUAAAAAUGAGAAAGUUGAAUUAUUAAACUGAAUUCUUAAUACAUUUUCAAAGUGGAUAAUAAUUUGAGUUGCAUGAGUAAUAUUAAACAUGCAUUUUUUUUUCAUUUUUUCGUUCUGUUUUUAUCCUAAUUUUUUUUCACUUCUCCUUCUUCCCCAAUAAUAUAUCUUUUGUGAUAGCUUGUGCUUACUAAUUAAAUACAUGUUAAAGAAUAAAUUUUAAAAAAUAAAAUAUCCAACAUAUACUUACAAAAAAUUUCGGAUAGAUAUUCAUCAACCUAAGAGGGAGGUGAUAGUCAUGUCAAGAGACUUAGAAGUCCUAGCAUGCAUGCUAGAAUAAAAUUUCAAGAAUUCAAAUUGAUGUAUAAUUUUAAUUAACUUUUGAUAUGAUGAUAUUAAGUUUCCUAAGUUAAAUAACAUAAAUUCCAUCCCUGCUCACACUUUAUAUAUAUAUAUAUAUAUAACAAGACCUAAAACUUCAGAAAAUAUUAUAUUAGUCCAAAUCAUUGUUAUCCUUUUGCUACCAAGUUUUCAAAUAUGCUAGACUUUUUUUCACUAAUCACAAGCUAGAAGUUGAAUCCAGCAUUGUUAUGAGACGAUUUAGAAACAUAAUUUUAUUUUGAAGAAAUAUCAAACAUUGUUAAUUACGUACCUCGCCUUGGAAGUACCAAGUGUACCAUGAUGUCUUGAUUGGUGUCUUAAUUUUGUCUAUGACAUAUCUACUUGUUGUAACUGAUACUACAUAAUCUGUAUCUCCGCUGCAGUCAUAAUAUUAUAAUUUCAGAAACAUAUCAAUUAAUUACUUAUAAAUUAGUACGUACUUUCUUCCUUUCAAUUUAUGUGAAUCUAUUAUUCUAUUUGACGGGACACAAUAUAUUUAAAAAAUAAAUAAUAAAAAUUUUGAAACCUAAGAUCAUAAAUAGAUAAACAUGUCAUACACUUGUGAUUUAUGUGACAAUAACUGUUUAAUUCUCAUUAAGGAUAAAAAUGUAUUCUAAUCUAAUUAAAUUUUUUAUCAGCAUAAAUCAACUCACAUAUAUAUCCAAACUCUAAUUCCACUUUGCAUAAGCUCUUGAAAGAUUGGCAAAAUCGUGUCAGGUGAAUCUUGCCAAUUUACAUGUAUAGAUGCACUGAAUGGUAAAGUCGUAUUAACAAAAUUAUGAUUGAAAUCUAAAUUAAUUAUUCCUACUAAUUAAACUGCUCAAAGUGAAAAUAAUUACUUGCAAGAACCACAUUGCUAGGGUAUUCCUCUAACAUGGAGUGCUUAUUGCACUUCUGCAGUAUUCAAGUAUGAAUCAACAUAAUCUCUUGUGCACGAGUCGUACCACGCCAACUUGAGUGUCCUCACAAUUUGUAAUCUCAACACAAGUUAAGAAUUCUAAUAGAUGAAAACUUCGUUAUAAAUACUUCUUUUGAUGAGACAAACUACAAUUAUAAUAUGAAGAAAGAACUUGUUUUGAUCAUAAAUAAAGAAAUAAUACUGUGAAACAAUAAAUUAUUAUAUAUAUAAAUUACUAAUAUGUUUUUUACGAGAAGAACUACAGUUAUAAUAUGACGAAAGAACUUGUUUUGAUCAUAAACAAAGAAAAUAAUACUAUAAAAUAAUAAAUAUUUUUCAGAUUUCGAACAACUUUUGAGAUCUCUAAUGAAAUAAGAAUUAUAUAGAUAUAAGGGAAGAUGAAAAGUGUAGAGUUAACAUUAGUUAAUGAUAUUUCACAACUAAUAUGACCUAAUAAAAAGAAGAGUUACAAUCAUUCAUUAUUAUAUUAGUAAAUGCUAAUUAUCUUAAAAUUAAAUGAAAUAGGUAAUUAAUAGAUAAGUUUUAAAAGUAUUGUUUACGAGUCUCCUUUAUAUAUAUAUAUAUAUAUAUUGAUUGAUUGAUUAGUGAAAGUUAAUCAAUUGAAAUAAAUAUGAUUUAGAUUUAUGAGAAUUCAUUAAAUGUUUUUUGGGGGCUUUUUAUAUAACACAUAAAUACAAAAUAUAUGAGAUAAUUUUUCAAAAAAAGAAGAAAAAAGAAAAAUACAAAUAGAGGCCAUUGAGAGGUGCCACAUAAGUAUCCUCCAAUGUCUUCUUUAUAUACAGAGAGAGACUCUUACAUGUUACUUAUAUUUGAAUGGAAACUAAAAUUUAUGAUUGUUUACGUAGUACUUUUGUCUUGUUUAAACUUUCAUCAACUUGCACACUCCAUUGACUUGCUCCCUUUAAAUAGUACUCUUAGUAAUUCAGUAUUAAACAUAUUAUCACCUCCCUUAUAUUUACUCGAGAAAACAAUGUGUUUUCCUUCCUUUUCACAAUGAUCUCCUCCUCCACCACCACCAUUGCAUCUACCACUUUCAUUUCCUUAUUUCUUUCGUUUCCAUAAUUGACUCUUCAAAUGGAUCCAUCCGAACACUCCGCCACGAAGUCGCCGAAAAGAGAGCUCCAAGGUCCCCGGCCAACGCCACUCAAAGUAGGAAAAGAUUCACAUAAAAUUAAAAAACCACCGGUGGUGCCACAUCAGCACCAUCGGUUGCCACAUCAUCAUCAACCUCCACCACCACGACCACCAAUAAUAAUAUACACCGUGUCCCCUAAGGUAAUCCAUGCAAACCCUAGUGAAUUCAUGUCUUUAGUCCAACGACUAACUGGACCAAAUUCUUCAUCAUCAUCGUCAAGCUCCUCAUUUCCUUUUCAAGAAAAUACAAAUAUUAGCGCGAUUUCUCCGGCUGCUAGGUUCGCUUCAAUAGAGAAAACAAGAACACCAAAAGGGAAAAAAUCACAAAGUACUAAUUGUGACAUGGAAAUUGUUGAUGAAGGGAUAGAAAUAAAUAGAGAAAUUGAAAGAAGUACAAGUGGACUUUCUCCUCAAGGUAUUUUGUCACCAAAUCCAGAUUCACUUCAACCUAUAUCAUCAAAUUUCUUUUCACCUCCAUCAGCUGGAUUUUUCCAUGAUUUAAGUCCUGUAUUACAUAGUAACAGAAAUUAUUUUGAACAUAAUUUCUUGCCUAGCCCUUCAUCAAAUUUUAUUUCACCAAGAAUAAUACUAUCUCCUGGUACUCCAUCUUUAGAUCUUUUCAAUAACCUUUUCGACCACCAUAGAUAGAAAUAGGAUUUGUACGGGGUUCAUGUUCGGAAUUCUAUCACAAUACAUUUGAUUAGUUAGUGGGUUCAAAUUUAUUGUUAUUAUUAUUUAGCGAUUAUUUUUAUACAUAUAUAAAAUUUGAGUCAAAAUUACUGAUUUUAUAUUAACGCUAUGCUCUUUCUUUUCCCUCAUUUGAAUUGAAAUGGUGGGCCAUUUCGAUGAGCAGGUCAAACGUAGGAUUUCUAAUUUUUCAUUUGAGAUGCACAUAACUCAUUAGCAUAUUAUUUUAUAGUAACAUAUUUUUUAUGUACUUUUUGCGAUUAUGUAGGCUUGUAUUUUUAUGUACUAUUCAAAAUUAGAAUAAAGUAGAAAUGAAGAGAAAGUCUUCGACCUCUUGGAUUCAAUACAAGUCAUAUCAUAUGACAAAUUAAAUUUGAUUUCUUUUUGAGAUCUUGACUUGUAUAAUUACUAAGGUAUCGCUUUUGGAAAGAAAAAAUAGGAUAUGAAAAAAGAGGGAAAGUUUGUUGGGGAUAUAAAUGAUGUUAGAUAUUUGUGGGUUGGCAGAAGUUAUGAUUCAUCGACUUCACAGUCAUGCGGACCCUUCUAAUUAAAGUUAGUUUACUUUUGCACACCACCUCUACGCUCUAUAUAUCUAUUUUCAGAUAAUGACAUGGCAGAACUUUAUACCUGGUGAAUAUGUUCAUAAAAUGGAUGCUAACUUCUGAAGUUACGUGGUAAUGAUUUCUUAUGAUAACUUAUAAAUUGAAUAGAAAAAAUAAUCUUUCUAGAUUUGGUAUGUGUAAAAUUGAAAAUGUCUGAGGAAGAGAACAUAAAACUAAAAACAAAUAUAUAAAAAGAUAAAAAAUCAAAUUUCUCAUAAAUUACAGUAUUCUGAACGAACUCGAAAAAAAAAUAUUUAGUCCAUUUCCAAAAAAUAUGGUUACAACAUACGAGUAUGCAACAUAUUUAGACUUAACCCAACUCAAUCCAAGUAAUGGCGAUGUUCAUUCAUUAACUUAAUCUAUUUUGGUCCAUUCAAAUUUAGUCUAAUAUGCUCUCUUGAUAACUCUAAAUAUGUACUCUAAUGACCUUGUUAAGCAGUACGCACUGAAAUUUCAAUUUAUGAGCAAAUUUGUAAUAUCUUAGAAUUUGUUUCCAUUAUAUGUUAUUUUUUCUUUUGGUGAGCAUGCUUACUGAAAAUUAGUCAGCAACUUUUCCCAGUCAUUGGAGAAGGUUAGUUCAAUGUGAGUGGGCUACCUAGAUCUGGCCCACUUUUAAUCUUAAAUUUGUCGAAGUCUUUAGCCCAUGUACCAAUGUGAGGCCCAUAUGUUUUUAUCUUAAAAUUAUACAAAUCCACAAUUUAAAGUUUCACUUAUUAUAAAAAAUCUCAUCUCUCCAAAUAUAUUACAAAAAUCUCGUUUUUCUCUAAAAAUACAUAUACAUAGUUUUCUAUGUCAGCCCUGUUAUGUAUAUGAAUUGGCUUUGUUAUGUAUUUGUUGGUCUUGUUAUGUAUAUGUCAGUCUUGUCAUACUUGUUAUGUAUAUGAAUCGAUCUUGUUAUGUAUAUGUCGGCCUUGUCAUAUACAAAGGUUUCUAUAUAUAUGUCGGCCUUGUUAUGUAUAUAAAUCGGAAGCGAGAGUAAAGUAAUUAAAAAAGUGGGAGAGAGUGUAAAUAAUUCUAAUAAGGUUGGGAUUUAUGUUAUUUUUACCUUUUUUAUAAAUUUUGAAAAGAAAUAACAUAAACAUACAUCUUAACUUAUCAUAUUUAAAUAAAUUUCUACCCUUAUAAAAUAAUUACAAAAAUCUCAACUAAUUAUGUAUCUUUGUUGGAUGUAUCAAAAGUUAAUUAUAUAUCUCGAUAAACUCAAAAUAAGAAAAAUGUAUUGAGAGCUAAUUAUGUAUUGUUAUAAAGGAAAAAUUGUAUCUUCGUUGGAUGUAUUAUAUAUCUCGACCGAUUCAAAAUCAAAAAAAAUAUAUUGAGAGCUAAUUAUAUACUUUACAAAGGAAAAAAUGUAUCUUCAUUAGAUGUAUCGGGAGAUAAUUAUGUAUCUCGACAGACCCAAACUCAAAAUUUCAGUAAUUAUGCAAAAUGUCAAAAUUCUUUGUAAUUAAACUUCAAACUGUCGAGAUUUAUGUUGUUUUUCCUAAAUUUUAGAUAAUGGUGUCCGACAUGCAUAAGCUCCGUCAUUCUUACUUAUUUUGUUCAAUCAUUUUCCAAAGUCGAAUAAAUAUUGUUUAUCUUCUUUAUGUAUUUUACACCCCCACAAUGAAUUCAGAUUAGUAGAAUUAGAGUUGUUAAGUGGGUCGAGCCGGGUUAAUUCAGAAUCGGUCGGUCAAGUUUAAUCGGUUUGUGGGCCGGUCAGGAUUCUAGCCUAAUUAAAUGGGCCGAUUUGAUUUUGGGCCCAACAAUAAAUUUUUUAAAAAUACUUCAGGACCAGCCCACUUAACUUAAUUCAGUCCAACCCUUCUAAAUUCGGUCGAAAUCGAUCCAAAAUUCGGUCAAAACCGAUCAAAACCAAAAAAAAUUAAAAGUUUUUCCUCCAAUAUACACUAUAUAUACCCACAUAUAUACAUUUUAAAUAAGUUAAACAAUAUAUAUAUAUAGUAUAUACUACAUUAGAAUUUAAAAAAUAUAUACACAUAUACACAAUUACACAUAUAAUCGUGAAAUAUGACUAUACGUUAGUUAAAUAUAUAGACUAAUCUAAAUAAAACAUACGCUACAAAGAUAUAUACUACAAUAUAAUGAUAUAUAUACUAAUUUAUAAAACAUAUACACAUGUAUACGUUAAAUAUAUACUUUAGAAUCUAUAGAAGAUAUAUACACAUAUAUAUGUACCAUUCAAUAUGUAUGUACUACUUUAAAUAAAAUAUACUACAAUAUACACACACACUAUAUAUAUAGUUAUAUACUAAUUUAUAAAACAUAUACACAUGUAUACGUUAAAUAUAUACUUUAGAAUCUAUAGAAGAUAUAUACACAUAUAUACGUACCAUUCAAUAUAUAUGUAGCACUUUGAAUAAAAUAUACUACAACAUAUACACACACUAUAUAUAUAGUUAUAUACUAAUUUAUAAAACAUAUACACAUGCAUACGUUAAAUAUAUACUACUUUAGAGUCUAUAUGCUAUAUAUACACAUAUAUACGUACCAUUCUAUAUGUACUACUUUAAAAAAUAUGGUCCAAGAUAUAUACUAAAAUAUAAUGAUAUAUAUACUAAUUUAUAAAACAUAUACACAUGUAUACGUUAAAUAUAUACUACUUUAGAGUUUAUAUUCUAUAUAUACACAUAUAUACGUAUCAUUCAAUAGAUGUACUACUUUAAAAAAUAUGCUUCAAGAUAUAUACUACAAUAUAAUGAUAUAUUACUAAUUUAUAAAACAUAUACACAUGUAUACGUUAAAUAUACCCUACUUUAGAGUCUAUAGAAGAUAUAUACACAUAUAUACGGUACAUUCAAUAUAUAUGUACUACUUAAAAUAAAAUAUACUUCAAUAUAUAUACUACAAUAUAAUGAUAUAUAUACUAAUUUAUAAAACAUAUACACAUGUAUACGUUAAAUAUAUACUCUUUUAGAGUCUAUAUUCUAUAUAUACACAUAUAUACGUACCAUUCAAUAUAUAUGUACUACUUUAAAUAAAACAUAUACUACAACAUAUACACACACUAUAUAUAUAGUUAUAUACCAAUUUAUAAAAUAUAUACACACAUGUAUACGUUAAAUAUAUACUCUUUUAGAGUCUAUAUUCUAUAUAUACACAUAUAUACAUACCAUUCAAUAUAUGUACUACUUUUAAAAAUAUGCUACAACAUAUAUACUACAAUAUAAAUGACCCAAACGGUCAAAGAAAAUUUUUUUCUUGAAAAAUAAAUAAAUUAAACGGGUCGGUUCUGGGUCGAUUAACCAACGGAUCUGGAUCGGGUUUGGUUCGGACCAAAUUAACCGGGCCCAAAAAAAUAACCCAAUCGGGGACCCAAAACCCUACAUCCUGUGGGCUGAUCGAGCCGGGCUGCUAUGAUGGGUCGGGUCGGGCCGUGUCAAACCGGCCUGUUUGACAGGCUUGUAGAACUAUAUAUGAACCACUUGUGUUUUAGCGUGUCUUAUAGAAUGUUUCAUCAUACAAAUUAUUACAAACUACUUAAUUUGGAAUUUUAAUUGAAGAACUUCUAAUUAAUGAGAUGAUAAUAUACAUUUUUGAGGAGCCUAUGAGGAGUUUUUCAAUAACUAUCGACUUCGAGUAAAAGAUACAUAUUUAGGAUACGUGUUUUCUCAUUUUCCUUUUAGUUGAGUUCAAACCAAAGAAGCAUAUUUCUAAUUUUGACAAAAAAAAUUGUGUUUUUUUUCAAAUCAAUUACGUUAGCUAUAUUGAGGAGUGACAAUUGAGCACCAUGAAUGUACAUAAACACCAUUGCAACACUUUAAUAGUGAAAAUUUCUACUGAAGAAGAAGUAAAACAGUAGAAACAGAGAGAAACUUGGAGAACGUGUAAUCACAUAAUUACACAUUUUAUUAUGAGAAGAGAAACUGUAAAACUGAUUCAAUACAAAGACUUAAGCUGCCUUACAAAGCAAUAUAUCUAAUCUGGCAGCUAAGACAUAACUAAGACCCUAACUAAUUAACUAAUCGACUCUAACCAACAGCUCUGCAGCACUAACUGUUUUCUAUCAUAACUUAGCUAACAUAUUUCAAGACCCCCCUCAAGUUGGAGGGGAGAUAUACACAACCAACUUGCGCAAAAUGGAGAAAUAUUUCACACCAGUCAAGGCUUUUGCGAAGAUGUUUGCCAGUUGUGGAUUGGUGGAAAUGAGAUGAAUACUAAUUUGACCUUUUUAAAGUUUGUCUCUCACAAAAUGGUAAUUUACUUCUAUAUGUUUGGUUCUUUCAUAAAACAUGGGAUUCUUUACUACCAGCCUGACAGUACACUGAUAUAGUUUAUCAAAAUUAACCAAUACUUAACAAAAUAUUCAAUUAAAAUUCCUCACUCCCUACCAAACUCCCUAAUUCCACAUACCCUCCAAUCCCUCAAUUCACGUUUUUCCUCUCAAUUACACACACAGAGAGCUCUAUAUACACACACCCACAUCAGAAAACCAAUAAAGGGAAGGGUUAUCAAAAAAGGGAACAACCAUUAACACCACUAUCAAUAUUGUAAACACCUAAUUUUUAUCAAACCUAAUGUUUUUAUAUCAUUUUAGUAUUCAUUUUUUUUUUCUUUUAGGUCUAAAUUAGAUAUUUUAAGUUCAUCCUAUUUUACAAGGUUUGGUUUAAUAGUUUUGAAAACAAAAAAAAAUAUAGAAUCACAUUUUAAAUAAGCUUUUAUUUUUUAUUAUUUAUUUAAAAAAAAAUCUAAAUUAUAUUUGUCUUCUUCUUUUAAUUUUUAAUAAAGAAUCUAGUGAUAUUAAUAUUUUUUAAUUAUAUUUCUAAGACUAGUUAUUCAACUUAUUUUGUAUUUUGUUAGUUUUAAAUAGAUUUUAUUAUUUUUAUUUUAUUUAAAAUAUUAAUUAAAAAAAAAGGGAAAAAAACUUAUCCUAAUCUAGCCUAACCUCUUCCCACCUUCUCACUUCCAUUCAAUCUCUCCCCACUUCCUCCACACAAACACAUGACACACACCUACAUAACCCACAAUGUAACACACACAACACAGAAGAAAAAAAGGACGGGGGGAGAAAAACUUUGAAAACAAAAAGAAAGAGAGAAACCAGAAAGAGAGAGAAAGAAAAAACACAAAUUGGAAAACAAAGAAAAAGAAGAAAAGUUUGAGUUUGGAGUUCCUGUUGAGUUUACGACGACGUCUAUCGUGCUUCUCUUUUAAUCAGUUCAUCAUUCAGGAACUGCGUUGUACACUUUGGCUCUAAAUUGUUUGCUACUCAAAGUUAAAUGAAGGAGUUUUCGGCUUAUAAAGGUCCAUUUUUAAUAUGUAAUCGUUAUACAAUUAUGUCAUGACAUGCUUUAAUUACUCCGUUUUUCUUUAGUAUUCUCGUGUUCUUGAUUUGAUUAUUCGAUCCGGAAGUGGCCUAAUGUGCAUUGUCUCGUAUUUGUUUAUUAUUGUUUACCACUAAGUUGUUGGCAUCUUCACGUAAAUGGAGUAAAAUAUCAUAUUUUGGGCAAAAAGUGACCUUAAUAAUAUUUUGAUAGCAUCAUUACGUUAGUAAGCUAUGUCUCUUUGAUUAAUUUUGGUUUCUUUCUAGUCGUAUGUUUAGUGUAAGAUUUGUUUUUGUUCGGCUCCAGAAACUCCCUUUUUUUUAAGUUGGCUUUUGGGCUAGUUUGAUGUGCAGCGGUUUAGUAUACUUUUGUUGGUUUUGGUUUUGUCUUACUUGACAAAUGAUUCAAGAAUUUGUAUGCUCUUUAAUUAAUGUCCUAGUCACUUGUUUAAAUUUUUCAUUUGAUUAAUAUUGUAUCAACCUUCAAGUUGUCUUGCUCAUAAUUUUCUUUUAGUUUAGGUUGUCAAUCUUACUUCCUGGAAAGGUUUAUAAUAGAGAGUUCUUCAUGUUAAUCGUUAAAAUCAAACACUCCUCGGCAUAGAUCAAAAUAAAAGGCCCGAAAUAUUUUUUUAUUUAGUAUGAGGAUUAACAACACGGGUUGCGAAUUUAUUCAAGACCCAUUGCAAUUGGUAAAAUAAAAAUAUAAAAAAAACUGUAAGGGAGCGUUACAAGCGAAAAGAAAAUAUUUCCAUCGUUUUUGUCACAUUUCACGAUUCGUUAUAUAAAUGAUUCAUUUGAUAAAUAAAAAGAGGCGGUCAAUAUGAAGAGUCCUCUAUAUGACUUCACACUAUCUCUAGUGAAGUUACAUCAUAUAAUAGGGAAAAUAAAUCACGCUCCCCAUGCCUUUCACACGGAUUUGCACCUUUUUUUUAUUAUUUUAAUAUUCUUUUGACAAUACUAUGUUUAUGCCAUUAAUGGGAUGCGGAUUUAUUCUAAACCCCAUUAUCGAGAAAAGAAAGGAGAGGAAAAAACCAACUGUAAGAGUGAAUUUAUAAAAUAAUGAGUUAGGUUCUUAGCCUCUAAAUAAUUAAUAUUUAAUAUACCAGUGAAGAUUAACGAUGAAGUUGGAAAGCCCUGCUACCGACCAUUCGUUAUAAUAAAUUAACUUACCUUUUGAAGCCGUUUGAAUCGGGUUGGGUAGAUUCUAAACCUAUUAGGUGCUUAUUUAUACUAGAAAAAUGGGACGAUCCAUAAAGGCCUCAAAGGCACGAGAAAUGUAUCAAAACUUGUGGUAUGACCGAAAAGUACUGCUACUGGCAAGCCACGAAUUAAUAUAAUUAAAUAAUUUAAAAUAAAUUCAAAGUAGGAUGUAAGAAGCUUUUAGGCUAACAAAUAUUAUGUAUCCAAGAGAUUAAUUUAAGCCAGACAUAAGUCAUUAAAGCGACUGUGCUAGAACCACGAGACUCGAGGGGUGCCUAACACCUUCCCCUCGGUUAACAGAAUUCCUUAUCCAGAUUUCUAUACCGCAGACCAAAAUUUUGAGUCAUUUUCUUUUGAAUAGGGAUUCAAUAAGGUAACUUGAAACACCCAAACUCAAUUUCAAGUGGCGACUCUGUAAAAUUAAUAAUCCCUUUUCAAAACAUCACUUUAAUUGGAAAAACCUAUUUUCUCUAAAACCAACUCCCUAGCGGGGUCGGAUGCGGUAAAAAAUAGGGGUGUGACAAAUAUCAAGCAACAAUCGAUAACAAAACAAGCAACAUUAUAUAUUAAUAGAAAAAGGAGAAAAAUGUGCAAAACAUAUAGAGAUUAAGAGAGAAAUAGUGAAGGAAUUGAACAGAAACUGAGAGAGGGUAAACAAGAAAAGGAGAUUGGGAGAGGGGGAGUUGAGAGAUAGACGGAGGGGAGUAGGAGAAAACAGUGAAAAAAUAAACUGAGGGAAGGGGAGAGAAACAACGACCCAUGCGCUUGGAUUUUUCAGCAAAAUCUCGCCAGAAACGCCAUAUCCACUGGCAAACUAACUCCGUAAAGCCAUCAGCUCUUCCACCUCUCUAAGAAUCCGAUCAAAUUCAUACAAAUUGAUCAAAAGACCCACCCACAAACCAACCAAAAUUCUUUUCAGACAUGACUCAUCUCUACAUUUUGGUGAAUCGCUGACAAUUCUCGGUAAAACCCACUGGUGAACAGACCAACACUCAGUUUUGUUUCAAUUAUGAAAUUUUGGGUAAAAGUUAGAUCAUUUCUUGAGGUCUUUCGGCCGAUGGCGGUCUCCAAUAGUGGUGGUGGAAAAUAAAUUUCAUUCUCUUUUGGCUAAAAACAUUGAGGUCCAUCUCUUAUCCUAUUCUUGGCUAUUCUUUAUUUUUGCAUAUGAUUGAUUGUUGUCUUCUCAAUUUUUUUUCUAUCUUGUGCAUGAUGUGAAUGAUGAAUAUUGAAUUUACAAUGACUGUGGUUGAUAGAAAUGGUGAUGGGGAUUAUUAUUUUAGAAUCUUGGUAUACAAUGUAGUCUUUGGGAAAAGUGAAAAAUCGAUAAAGGUGAAUAUGAUCAGUUAGUUUUAAUUCAUUGAUUGUUGAUUAAUUCGGAUAAGUGUUAGUUUCGUUUUCACUUGAUAGUAGCAUGUUCAGGUCAAAUUUUAUAGGCAAAUGGUAGGUUGUGUUUGAAAAUCAUAAAAAUCGAUGAUUGUUGAAUGAUUGAAUUACUUUAUUUGGAAUUGUUUUAGUUUAUCACAUUCACUCAAAUGUAUUCAUUUUACCAAAGAAUGCCCCGAGAUAAAUUGUACUUAUUCACCGGGGAAUGCCCCGAAGUAUUAUGUAUGCGGAGGAUGUUCGUGAUCAAGGCUCGAGGCAUCAGGUAAAGCAUAGUUUAGGGUAGUUUAAGUUAGUUUAGGUUUCAUUUCAAUAUUUUUUUAUUUUGCGACUGUAUUAAUUGGAUUGGACAUUAUUUUUUAAAACUUUGUUUGUUUGUUUGUUUGCAUAUGUGUUCUUUUGUGAGUCUAUUAUUUCAUAGUGUCAUAUUAGCUGAUAUAACUCGGCGAAGAGAUCAUGGUCGAAUCAAGGGACCGAGGGGUUCCUAACUCCUUCUCCACGGUCAAAAAAAUUUCUUAACCGAAAUCUAUGCUCAUGGAUCAGUUUUAAGAGUCAAUUAUUUUUUAAAAAGAAAUUUAAAAAGGUGAUAUGGCACACCAAACAAUGUCAAGCGGCGACUCUGGAGUUUAAUUGCAAAAUUCUUUUUUGAAAUACAUUUUCUUUUGUCACUUUAGUAAUUAAAACUCUUUCGAACUUUAAAAUUAAUCUUUUUUUAUAAAAAUAGGGGUGUGACAGCUCUGGCGACCUUGCUAGAAAUUUUUAGAAUUCGAGUUUCUUUGUUGAAUUCUAUCGGUUUAGUUUGGCACUAUAUGUGUAUAGACGUUUGUUUGUGUUAUUGUUGUUAUCAUUGUUGGGUGCCCACAUGCUAUGUGUUUAUAGUUUUUCCUUAUGUUUUACCGCUUUAUAUCUGACACCAUAUUCAUUACCCCAAGUCACUUUUUUGAAACAAGUCUCAAAGCACACAUCAUGUACAUAAACCUUCAUCGAAUCACCUUUAUUUUAGGAAAGGGAGCUGCCGAACGUAUGGAGUGGGUGAAAAACAAUCACAGCCACCAUCGACUAUAUGCUCCCCCGAACAGUAUUGUUAGUUGAACCUCAGCCUAGGUCGGUGUUUAGAUUAUUCUUAAUUGCAUCUUGUUGAGACCUAGUGGGACCUGUUUGGUCCUUUGUGGGAGACUUAUCCCUAAGCAUCCCUAUGUGCUACUUAUUACCUAUUUGAAGGUAAAAAGGUGAUUUGAUGGACUAAUUUAGGGAGACAUGUGCUAAAGUUGUUGGAAAAUGUGUAUUUAGACAAGCGUGAUUAAGGAAAAAAAAGUACCAAAAAAUCAAAGUAAAAAAAGAAGAAGAGAAUUUCAUAGUUUGUAGAGUUUCUCUUUGACUUCUAUUUUGACAAUAAAAAAAUUCAAAAAAAAGAUUUUACCCUUUGCAUGUUUUUCCUUAAAAAAACAAAAAAAAAUUUCCUUUGUUUUUUUUAGCAUGCAUUUACAACUUGAAAAUUUCAAAAAAAAAAAAAUUGAUAGGAGUUAUAUAUAUUUUUUAUAGAAGAAAAUUCAAAAAGAUUUUAGAAGCUUUGUAUAUUUUAUAUAAUGAAAAUGCCAAAAAGAUUUUUCUUUUAGUGUUUUCAUGUUUUUCUAUAUCGAAAUUUCAAAAAAUAUUUUAUUUUUGUUGGUGCUUUAUUUUUGAAUAAUUUCAUAUGAAAAUACCAAAAGAUUUUUCGUUCGUAAUUUUUGAUUUAUUUUUAUAUGAAAUUUCAAAUAAAAAACGCAUAAAAAAAUUAUUGUGUGUUUCAUCAUUUAUUUUGGUCAUAUCUUAAAUCGGAAUUCAGUCUAUUAGUUAAUGUGUGAUUGUCCAAUCUAAGUGAACUAUGCACACCUAAUUCUCAUCUCUCGAGGAUGAGAUACAUAGGCAGCCCUUCUAGUGUUCAACGAUCUUAUUUUAAAAAAUUCCCCAAAAAAAAUAAUUUCUCGCUUUAUUUAGAGUUGGUGUCACAUAUACAUAUUUAAAAAGAAAAAUAGAAAAGAAAUUUUUUUAGUAGUUUUAGGUUUCAUUUAAGUAUGAAAUUCAAAAUCGAAAAUCCAAAAAGAUUUUUCAUCAAUAUCUUUUGAAAAAUAACAAUAAAAGAAAAAAAUAUCUUACUCUCCAUUAGUUGUUUCACGUGGUGUUUCAAAUAAAAAAUACAAAAAAAUAAAAGAUCUUUUCUUUGAUAAUUUUAGGUUUUACUUUUGACUAAAAUUCAAAAUCGAAAAUUCAAAAAGAUUCUUGUCAAUAUCUUUUGAAAAAAAAAAAGAAAAAAAAAUCCUUUUCCUCUUCAGUUUAGAUUAGUUAAGCCAUGCAUUUCUUCAUAUGAAAAUACAAAAAAAAAUUUCUUUGAUAAUCAUAGGUUUCAUUUUGCAUAGGGAAUUUAAAGUUGGAAAAUUCAAAAAUCUUUUCAUCUACUUUUGAAAUUUUGUUAUUUUCUUUUUCUCUAAAACUUUAUCAAAAAAGGGGGGGAAAGAAAUGGAGUUUGAUUGGCCAUUUUGUGCAAAAAUUCACGAACUACGCACACAUGAUUCUCCCCUCUGGAGUGAGAUACGUAGGCGUCUUUCUAGGAUUCGGUGAUCUUGUCUAAAAAGAAAAUAAGAGGAAAAAGAUUUUGAAAAAGUGUUGAACUCUAACACAUUUUUUAUAUCUAUUGUUUGGUUAGUUUAAGGUGGUUGGUUUGUGGCAUUCUGGUUGGUCCUCCAUACUACACCAAAUCCAAGGAAGAGCUAGUUAUGUCUAAUAAGGAUAUUAAUAAUGACAUCAUGGAUCAGACAGAGUCAGGAAAAUGAGAGUUUAAAGUAAGAGAUUUUGAGAUUAAGGCAACAAAUGACGGAAAUGCACCGAGUUUGGGCUAGUGGAUUGCCUCCUUCCCCAUUUCCCUCUAUUGAUCUAACAAAUAUCUUUAGUUUUUCAUCAAAGUUGCAAACUCAGUUUUCUACUGUUGUUGAUGCACCACAACAUGUACCAGAAUUUAUGAAAACAUUCGAAUGCGUCCAGCAUUCAUUACCUAUCUCCUUAGUAUAAACCUACCAUAUCUACAACACCACUUACUAUUCAUGCUUGUGUUGGUCAACCCUCUAUUGAGACUCCUAUCUUGGUUGUCCGCCCAGGAAUUGUGUUUUCCCAAUCUACUAGUGAGUAUAUGUUCAGUAAUCUUGAUAAUCACUGUUAUACUCAUGAGCCUAAAUCUAAGUUAAUUGGACCACCGAAAUUUCUUACCAAGAAGCUUGGAAUGAUAGAAGAGCGAGAAAAAAUGGCUAGAAAAAUGAAGAAUGUAGAAAAGGUUAUGAAAAAUUCUCUGGGACUUAUGGGUUAUGAUGAUGCUUCAUAUAAGGAGUGAGGCAUGAUUUCAAGUAUUAAUCUUCCUCCUAGCUUUAAGAUGGAAUUUGAGGAGCAUGAGGGACACGAGGAUUAUGUGAGACACUUGGAAUAAUAUUACAAUCAAUUUAGGAGAACUGAAGAAAAAAAUAGAGCUAUUGAGAGGUCCAACUCACCAAUACUUUCAUCCUCAACCCCGAGUUUAUACACCAGAUCCACGAACUCAUCUACAACAAAGUUUAUCUCUUCAAAAUUCAAAAUAUUCUAUUCAUCUUCCUUAGUAUCCUUUGAACAAUGCACCACUCUUACUCAUCCAUCUUCUUAUCCACAAUGGCAUGCACUGAUCCCUCAAAAUCGUCCUCGGACCCCACAUAUUUAUCAAGAUACCUCUAAAUCUAAGUUUCAGUACAGGCCAGAGUUUGUAAAGAGGAAGAAUCCAAAGGAUAAUGUCACACUAAUUAUGGAAUCUUAUACCAAUUUGUUCCAAAAAUUAAGACAGUGGGGCAUGAUUACUCUUCUCAUCGGGUAUACUCUUGACCCUUAUUCAAGAUAUUUUGAUCCUAAUGUAUGAUGUGCAUAUCAUUCUAAUAUUUAGGAUCACAAUACUAAAGAUUGUCAUACUUUGAAAAGAGAAAUAUAAAGAACGGUUCAAUAAAAAAUUAUUGUACUGCAAUACAUUGACACUAAGAGCGUCAUACAAAAUUCUUCACCAACACACAAUAAUGCACAAUACGUGGAAAGCAAUAAGUUAGGCAUGAGGAUCCAGAACUUAUUUGUUGAGGGAAACGUACUUAACGGUGAUGAAAGCUCUAGUCAUGAUGAUGUGCAAAUCAGUGGCUAAGAUGUCAAGCUCAGCCAUUGGGAAGACACUCCUUUCCUUACUAGGAAGAAUUUUUGGUAGUUUGUUUUGUUAUCUUUUCUGUUAUUCGAAUUAUUUCAGGGUUGUAGUUCAGAAUCUAUCUUGCUUUUAUUUAUUUAUCGUUUAUGUUUAAACCUUUAUAUUUUUCCUUUCAACUAAAUGGAGUGUCCCUUUUUCUUUUGCUUUUUAAUAUGUGUUGUUUGUUUGUUUUCUUUAUACAGAAUAUUUUAUGUUGGUUUUAGUGAUAUGGCAUACUUGCAGAAUUUUAGUCAGAUCUUAAAAUCCAGUUUAAUCAUGAAGCAUUGAAUCAGAAUGUUACAGUUAGAAAAAGAGCAUUUGAGAAAAUGAGUAGAUUUUUGAGACAUUUGGUGAUCGAGUUGAAGUAUUACUUGAAUAAAUUAAGACAAUUAUUUUGAGAAUCACAAGAAUAACUUGGUCAUUAAUUGAAAGUCACAUCUCAAUCAUUUUGAAUUGGAUCAAACAGUGGAUGGAUGAUCUCCCAUGUCAAGAGAAACAAAAGAAAAUUUGUUUCGCUAAAGUAUGAGUCACCCGAUAUGAGGUGUGUACAACAAAGGUGGAUUUGUAUGUUUGACAAGUGCAAAAGAAUAAGUAACACACAUUCUGAGUUCAAAAAAAGGAGAAAAGUGUCGAGCAAAAGAAUUGAGUCAGAAAAGUUCAAUAAAAAAAAGUGAGUCAAAAAAUAAAGAGAUAAGAGUGUUAAGAAAAAUAAAGUCAAAAGAAGUCUCAAAGGGGAGAAAGAAGAAAAGAAACCAAAUCCAAGUAAAAGAACAAGUUGUCUAAACUAUGUUUGACCUAGUUCUUACAAAGACAAAAUACACAGGCAGCCCUACUCUGGAGUUCGGUCAGCCCAAGUAAGAGCUAAAGAAUGUCUCAUCUAAAAUAAACUGGGGCAAGAGUUUAUUUUUGUUGCUUGAGUCGAUUCUAAAAGUUGUGAGUCUCACCCCCACUUCAAGUGUCGUUUGAGAUUUAUGUCAUUCUUUCUUUUCAACCCUAUCCAAAAGCUACGUUAUAACUAAAGAAAGACCUUCAGAUCAAUUUUUGACAAUAUUAAGGCUAAGCAUGCGAUGGACAUAUGAUGUUGUAAUUUAAAUACGACUUAUCUUUAUCAGCAUAAGAAAUCAAGGGAGAAAUAAAAUGUGAGAGUCUCAUUGGUAUAAACCCUCACAAACAUCCCAAGGCGAUAAUGAGCUAAGAAAAAUAAAAAUGAAAGUCUUAUUGGUGAAAGCCCUCAUGGGCACCAUAAGGCGUUGGAAAGUUAAGAGAAAUGAAAAUAAAUUAGUCUCAUUGGUGAAAAUUCUCACAGGCACCGUACGACAAUGGUGAAUUGAGAGAAAUAAAAAUGAGAGAGUAUUACUCGUGAAAACCCUCACAAACAUUGCAAAGUGAUAGUGAGCUGAGGAAAAUAAAAUGAGAGAUUCUUAUUGAUAAAAACCUUUAUGGGCACCGUAAGACGAUAGUGAGUUGAGAAAAAUGAAAGUGGGAGAGUCUCAUUGGUGAAAAUCCUCACAAACAUCGUAAGGUGAUGGUGAGCUUACCUCACAAACAUCGUAAGGUGAUGGUGAGCUUAGGAAAAUAAAAAUGAAAGAGUCUUAUUGGUUAAAACCCUCAUGGGCACCGUAAGGUAAUAGUGACCCGAGAAAAAUAAAAAUGAGAGAGGUUGUUGGCGAAAACCUUUCAGGCGUCACUAGUCGAAUGAGGUCUAUGAAUGCAAUGGACUUAAAGAAGCAACUCCGGUUCAGGUUCAUUAACUCAAAACAAUUGUUGUAAAGUUCAGGAAGUUUAAUCCAAAAUGCAUGUUAUAAUCAUUAGAGUUGACUGUCGUAUUCAGAUAAGUUUUUCUUUUCUAUGUUUUUGAAAAAGAGACAUUCAUUAUCUUCUCUUUCUUCUCUAUAUUUUUAUUUUUGUUCUCUUGAGUCUGUCAUCCGAAUAGAAAACAUUAUCAUUUCUUUAUUUCUGUGAGUCAAGUCCAUGUCAAAACAAGUGAGAAAAAAAUUUCUAAACUUGUUACCAACUUUUUCAAUUGCACAAAGCAAUACAAAAUACCAGUGCAUGAAGAAACAUGAUUGUAAGCCAAAACAAGGCAUGUAGAAAGUUUCUGUCAACAGACAAGUUUGAAAAUUCGUGAAAAUACCAAGGUUCAAAGGGUUUAUCUAAGAGACAUAGCAAAAUAGAGAUAUUGUAUUUAUUUCAGAGUCACUCUUAAUAAUCUAAGUUUGGAUCAAUGGUGCAGCAAGGCAUUGACACAUGUCAACAGUGUGAAGCAAGUUAAAUAAGAUAAGUGCAAAAACUAUUACCUCGAAAUCUGAAGCCACAAAUCAGCCACCAUGUUCUAUAUCAUAAGUUUUAUUUAUAUGAAAUAGGAACAUAGGUUACCUUCAAAUCAAGGGCUUCAAAGCCUAACUAUCAGAAGGUAAAAUUCCUCUCUUCUACAAAUGCAAGAGACAAUUUUGCUGCACAGGUUUGGUAAUCUUGUACCCCUAAGAGACACUUUCUAAUUUGGGCCUUUCAUCUUUUCUGACUAGGAGAUGCACUUCCUAAUUUGAGUUGUUAAUCUUAAAAGAUGAACUAUUUAAUUAAAGUCUCUCACUUUUACUCUUAAGAUACACACUUUUUAGUCUUGAUUAUUCAAUUUUACUCUUAAGAGAUGCAUUUAUUAAUCAGAGUAUUGAUUCAUCAUUGCAUUAUGCAUUUUUGCAGGUAGUUAUGAUUUGGUUUGACACUCACAAAGUUUUUUUGAUGAUAAACUGUGGCAAAAAUUUUAUUCGUGUUUCUUGAAACUUUACUUUAAGUUUCGGAUUCUCCUAGAAAAUAAGGCUUUAUUUUUAAAAAAAAUGAGAUCUUUUUUUAUCAUAAUAUAUGUUUGAGAUCACGUUUGUUCUAAUUUUAACUUUGAGUUCAAGAGCCCGCCUGAAAAAUAGGACAAAGUUUAGAAAUUGCAAGUCACCAGCCCACCUGAAUAAUAGGACAAAAAUAUAGCAAGUCUGGAAUCCGCCUAGAGAAUAGGUUGAAGAAAUUGCAAGUCAGGAGCCCGCCUAGAGAAUAGGGUGAAAAAAUAGCAAGUCAAGAGCCAUCUUGGAGAAUAGGAUGAAGAAAUUAUAAGUCAGUAGACCGCUCAGAAAAUAAGUUGACGAAAUAACAAGUCAGGACCCCUCCUGGAGAAUAGGGUGAAGAAAUUAUAAGUUAGGAGCCCGCCUGAAAAAUAGCGAGAAGAAAUUACAAGUUAGGAGCCCAUCUGGAGAAUACGCUGAAGAAAUAGCAAGUCGGGAGCCCGCUUGAAGAAUAAGUUAAAAGUUGAAGAAAUCACAAAUUAGGAGCCUGCCUAGAAAAUAAGGUGAAGAAUUAAAAAUUGCAAAUCUGGAGUCUGCCUGAAGAAUAGGUUGAAGAUUUUAAAUUGCACGUCAGGAGCCUGUAUGAAGAUUUUAAAGUUCAAGGUCAAGUUCAUAAGUCCCACCAGAAGAACAUGACCAAUUUUCAAGUUCAUAUCUGAUAUCAAAUAGUGUAGGGAGAAAGCAUUUUUUAAAAAUGCAACCCAAACAAAAGUAAAUAUAUUAUCAUUUUUUGAAAACAUUGAAGACUCAAGUCAAGAAUCAGGAGAAGCUGCAUAAAUAGAAUUUUUGUAAUUUCAUUUAUCUUGUUAACUUGUAAUUUUUAUUUUUGAUGUAAUGAUAGAGUCGCAGACCGAAAUCUCGACGGGACCUCACUCAACUCUCCAACUCGGUAUAGUCUCUCUCCUUUUAAACUACAUAUGACCUAAUUUCCAUAUAAUCUGGGAUAGCUAGGUUAUCCAAAAACAAGACUCGAUCGCAUUCUAUCAUUCUAUUCCCUCUUUUAAAUAAUGAUCGGGUUAAAUUCUAUCUCGUUAUCUACUUCUUUAUCUAAAAAACUUUGUGUUUACGAAUAAAGAGGGACAUGAUGUAGACACAUAAAUUUGACCCUCCCAUUUUGUAAAUUUACCUAUUUACCUCACUUUACCAUGCACCCCGCUUUUUUUGAUAUCUUUUUCAUAAAAGGACAAAAAUAACCCCAAUUAAAAUUCCUCACCCCCUAUACCACGUACCCUCCCUCUCUCCCAAUCCCUCAAUUCACAUUUUUCUCUCAAUUACACACACACACACAAUAACUCUAUAUACACACACCCUAUCAAAAAAACAGUAGAGGGGAGGGCACUUAAAAGGAAACAACCAUUAACACCAUUAUCAAUAUCAAGCAAAAACCCAUAACAGAACAAACAACAUUAUAGAUUAACAGAAAAUGAAGGAAAAAUAUACAGAACGGAAAGAGACUGAGAGAAACAAUGAAGGAAUUGAGCAGAAAAUGAGAGAAAAAGAUAGAGAAAAGAGAUAUCGAGAGAGGGGGAUUUGAUAGAUAGAGAGAUGGGGUAGGAGAAAAUAGUGAAAAUGGACUAAGGAAAGAGGAGAGAAACAACAUCCCACGUGCUCGAAUUUUCCGACAACAUCUCGCCGGAAAUGCCAUCUCCAUCGGCAAAAUAACUUCAUAAAGCCACCAGCUCUUCCACCUCUCCAAAAACCUAAUCAAAUCCAGAAAAAUCAACCAAAAGACCCACCCACAAACCGACCAAAAUUCGGUUCGGACGCGACUCAUCUCUGCAUUUCGGUGAAUCGCUAGCAAUUCUCGCCGGAAUCCACCGGUGAACAGACAAACACCCAAUUUUGGUUUCAGUUAUGGAAUUUUGGGUAAAAAUUAGAUCGUUGUUUGAGGUCCUUCAGCCGUUCACGGGCUCCGAUGGUGGUGUUGGAAAAUAAAUCCGAUUCUCUUUUGGUUAAAAACAAUGAGGUUCAUCUCUUAUCCUAUUCUUAGUUAAUUAUUUAUUUUUGUACAUGAUUGAUCGUUCUCUUCUCAAUUUUUUUUUCUCAUGAUGCGAAUAAUAAUAUUGAAUUUACAAUGGUUGUGGUUGCUAGAAAUGGUGAUGGGAUUACUCCCUCCGUUUCGAAUUAAAUGACAUUUUCAACCUUGGCACACUCAUUAACAAACUUAAUAAUUAAGGGUAUAUUUUACCGUUUUACCUUUCUUGAUAUUGUAAGAUUAAUAAAGUAAGUAUGGAAAAUUGGUGCAAUUAUUCCAACCAUGCAUGCAUAUGUCUAGAAUUUAUAAAUCAUUAAUUUUUUUUUUGAGAAGUGAAAACAUGAAUACUCCAUUCCAUAUUACUCUAUCUAAAAAAAAAAUGUAUCAUUGAGUAUAGGAUUGUAAAACGUGUAUGUUCGUUCAGUUAUAGACUUUACAAAUGUUGAGUAUAGGAUUACAAAUAUUUAGCAAAUUUGAAAUUUAUAGUUCAACAAAUAGGGUCAACAAAUGUUGCUUAUUUCUUCAUUAAAACGUGUAUUGAUGUACAUGAAAUUUUUAUGUUAAGCAUUUUUUGGCAAAUGUAUUUUAUUGAAAGUUUUAAAUUUUAUUUCAAAUUCUAAAAAGAAGAAAAAAGUAAAGUCUUGAAAAGAAGAAAAAAGAGAUAAUACCCAAUUACCCCUGAACUAUACCCAAAAGUCUAUGACACACCUCAACUUAAAGGGGGUCCUAUUACCCCUGAACUGAUAAAAAGUAUAAUUUUGACACCUUUAGUGUCUACGUGGCACAACACACUGAAGUGUCCACGUGCCACGUAGGCACACGUAUGUGCCACGUAGGCACUAAGGGUGUCAAAAUUACACUUUUAGUUAGUUCAGGGGUAAUAGGACCCCCUUUAAAUUGAGGUGUGUUAUAAUCUUUUUGGAUAUAGUUCAGGAAGGUAAUUGGGUAUUUUCUCAAGAAAAAAAGUAAAGUCUCAUAAAGAUAGUAUUGAAAAUACGAAAAAGGGUCUAAUAUACCCUUCAACUAUUGAAAAUGGUACACAAAUACCCUCCUUCCAUCUUUAGGCUCAAAAAUACCCCUUCAUCCAUCUAUUUGGCUCAAAAAUACCCUUAAUGUAUUAGAAAUAACUCAAAAAUGCCUUUCUUCCUCUAUUGGUUCAAAAAUGUCCCUCCAUCCACCUAUUUGGAUAAAAAAUGCCCUUAACAUUAAAUUUAAGUCAAAAAAUGUCUCUUUCUUUAUAUUAUAUUAUUUUUUUAGUUUCACGUAGUGGUGGGCUUUUUUUAGUUACAAUUUAUUUUAUUAUUAUAUUAUUUUGGGAUUUUUUAAUUACAAAUUUUUAUUAUUAUAUUAUUUUUGAUUUUUUUUAAUUAUAAUUUUUUAUUAUUAUAUAGUUUUUGUGGGUUUUACGUCAGGGGUGGUUUUUUUUUUAAUUAUUAUUUUUUUAGUUUUAGGUUGGUACCAAGUUAUCAAGUAAUUUAUGGUACAUCAUAAUAGUUAUAUUUAUGGUAAUUUUUUUUUUCAAGAAAUAUAUUUUUUCUAUUUUAGGACUCUUAAUUUCCUUCCAUAUAUUUUAGGACUCUUAAUUUUCCUAUAUGUUUCGGGUUUCAUAUUUAUAUAUUUUAGGACUCUUAAUUUUAAAUGAUUUUAUCUAUUGUAAAGUCUUCUAAGGAAGAAUGUUUUUUUAAAAAAAAGUUAUUACUUUUUUUUUGUGGUUUCACGUAGGGGUGUUUUUUUUUAAUUACAUUUUAAUAUAUAUAUCAUUACUAUUUUUCUUUGUAUUAUUACUAUUUUUAUGAUUUCAUGAUGGAGAAGGAUAGAAGUGUAAAAUAUUAUGCUUUCUUACCUAAAUUAAAUAAAGACUUAAAUUACUUUCAUGUUUUUUUUUAUAUAAAAAAUUCAAAACCUAAAAAGAACUAAGAGUCUUCAAAAUUUUGCCUAAAAUAUGUUUUCUAAUAUUUGAGCACACAUAGAUAAUCAUUAACUAUGAGAGUAUUUGCCCUUUACUAAUUAUCCUAUUUAAGGAAUUCUUUUCUAAUCUUGCACUCAAACAUUAGUUAAUUCUUUUUAAAUUUUUAUAUACAACUAAAAAAAUUAGUGAAAAGAGGACCAUUAAAUUUUGAAUGAAUUUGAGUCUAAUUACAUGUGGACCAAUAAAAAUAAUGUCAUGUAUUUAAUUUAAAUAAAAUUAUAUUUCACAUCAGAAUUUGUUAAAAAAGGGAGACAUUUUUGGACUUAAAUUUAAUGUUAAGGGCAUUUUUGGUCCAAAUAGGUGCAUGGAGGGGUAUUUUUGAACCAAUAGUGGAAGAAGGGCAUUUUUGGGUCAUUUCUAAUACAUUAAGGGGCAUUUUUGGGUCAUUUCUAAUACAUUAAGGGUAUUUUUGAGCCAAAUAGACGGAUGGAAGGGUAUUUUUGAGCCUAAAGGUGGAAGAAGGGUAUUUGUGUACUAGUUUUAAUAGUUGAAGGGUAUAUUAGACCCUUUUCCGUUGAAAAUAUAAAAGUGUUAUUUUCAAAAAAUUUGAAAAGUGUAGUUAUAUUUAAUACUGUCAAUGGUAGAAUGGGAAGAAUAUGUGUAAAAUAGUCUUGAUUUUAUAACUUGGACAAGUAAAUUGAAGCAAUUUUUUUCAAAAAUAGGGUCAACUAAAAAAAAAUGGAGAGUAUUAUUUUAGAAUCUGGGUGUACAGUUUAGUCUUUGGGAAAAGUGAAAAAUUGAUAAAGGUAAAUAUGAUUCAUUUGCUUUAAUUCAUUGAUUAUUGAUUAAUAUGGAUAAGUGUUAAUUUUGUUUUCACUUGAUAGUAGCAUGUUUAGGUCGAAUUUAAUAGGCAAAUGGUAGGUUGGGUAGGCAAAUCAUAGAAUUCGAUGAUUGUUGAAUGAUUGAAUUGCUUUAUUUGAGAUUGUUUUAGUUUAGCGCAUUCACUCAAAUGUAUUCAUUUUAUUGGGGAAUGCCCUAAGAUAAAUUAUACUUAUUCACCGGAGAAUGUCCCGAAGUAUUAUGUAUGCGGAUGAUGUUCAUGAUCAAGGUUCGAGGCAUUGAGUAGAGCAUAGUUUAAGUUAGUUUAGGUUUUCAUUUUAGUAUUUAUUUAUUUUGGGACUGUGUUAAUUGGACUGGAUAUUAUUGUUUUUGUUUGUUUGUUUGAGUAUGUUUUCUUUUGUGAGUCUAUCAUUUCAUAGUGUCAUAUUAGUCGAUAUAACUCGAUAAAGUGAAUGUGGUCAUACCACGGGACCGAGGGGUGCCUAACACCUUUUACUCAGUUAACAGAAUUCCUUAACUGAAAUCUCUAUUCGUGGAUCAGUUUUAAAAGUCAACUGUUUCUAAAAAAGAAUUUAAAAAGGUGACUUGGCACACCAAAUAAUGCCAAGUGGCGACUCUGGAGUUUAAUUGCAAAAUCCUUUUUCGAAAUACAUUUUUUUUGUCAUUUUAUAAUUAAAACCUUUUUGAACUUUAAAAUCAAUCUUUUUCGGUAAAAAAAAGGAUGUGACAGCAGUUCCCUUGACUCUUGUAUAUAUUGGCUUAGAUGUUGUACACUAAAAGUAAUAUCCAUUCUGGUAUUUUACAAAAAGUUGAGCUUGCCUACUAACUUCUUGUAGUAAGUUGGAUCUUAAAGAAGAACGCCUUUGUUGUCGCUUAGCUUUAUUAUAGGAUCUAGAGGUGAUGAGGUUUUAUUAUGACAGAUGCAAUCAAAUUCUGAAAAUAGAUCAUUUGUAAAUUUCCUUUAUAAGAUCAAAACGCCAUUUGCUCUAUAUAGAAUCUCCAGCCCGAGAAAAUAGCAAAGUUAUCCAAGAUCUUUGAGCUUGAACUGAUCAUGUAGAAAUGAUUUGAGUCACUUGAUUUCUUCUAAAUCAGUCCCUAUCAAUUUGACAUCAUCAACAUAGAAAGACCAUGGAUUGGUUUUGCCUUUCGGAAAAGAGGGAGUAAUCACUUAGUGUGAUUAUCCUUUGGAAUAUUAUGAACUAAUUCUUUUGAAUAUUAUGAACUUAUCAACUUACCAUACCAUUAUCUACUGGCCUGUUUCAGGUCAUAUACUCGCUUCUUUAGCUUACAAAAAGCCCCCUAUCCGGGACAAAGCCCUUAUGGAGUGCCCAUGCAUAUUUUUUCAUGAAGAUCACCAUGAGAAAUGUAUUAUUGAUAUCUAGUUGGUAACGAUCUCAACCUUUUUUGACAGCCAAGCUAAGAAGUAUCCUAAUUGUUGCUAGCUUCACAAUAGGUGAAAAUAUUUAUGUAAUCUACCCCAGCCUCCUGAAUAUACCCCUUGACCACCAGCAAUGUUUUGAACCUCUCUAUAUUUUCAUCAGCCUUGUGCCAGAUCUUGUUCACCUACUUGUAGCCCAUAACUUUCUUUCAUGUAGGUAAAUGAACUAAUUUCCAAGUGUGGUUAGAAUAUAAUACAUCAAACUCUUAUGUCAUAGUUAUUUGCCAGGCAAGGUUCAAGACAACCUCUUCAUAUGAGCUUGGUUCAUUCUCAUGAGAUAUUUUUAACCAGUUGUUGACUAUUUGGACAUAGACUAGUGAGACAAACAUGAGAAGGUUUAUUGAGGAGAACAGUAGAGAAGGUUUAAGUAAGCAGGGGUGGUAUGGAUCCUACAUGAUCUUCUAGGUUCUACAGGAGUGACUUGAGACAUGUCCUCGGGAGCUGAGUUGUGUUUUGAACUUAGUGUAGGUGAUCCAUUGUUUUCUAGUGUUGGAGAGAAGGAUAGGUUGGUUGAAGGUAAUAAAUUAGUGGAAUGAUUAGGCAUAGGCUGACUUGGAACUGAACUUGAAGUAUCCUUAUCCAAUAAAUUAACAUCAUCAAAGUAUUUAAACUACUCAAAACAGACGAACCAGUAAUAAGUUGCAAAAUAAAGGGUAAACUUGAUCUAGAAGGAGCAAUAGAAUAUAUAUAUAUAUAUAUAUAUAUAUAUAUAUAUAUAUAUAUAUAUACAUGAAACAAAACAUCCCUAGAAACAUGAAUCCUCUUGUUGUACAAGUCAAGUACCUUAUAUCCUUUUGUGUUGAAAGGAUAGCAAACAAAAAUGUGAGGUGUGGUUCUUGGUUCAAAUAUAUCCUUAUGGGAUUUCAAAGUGGUUGGAAAGCAAAGACAUUCAAAAACUCUAAGGUGAGAAUAGGUAGGUUUGGUGUUGUAUAGCAUUUCAAAAGGGGAUUUAUUAUGUAACAACCUUGAAGGUAAUCUAUUUAUGAGAUAGAUAACAGUCAUAAUGCACUCACCUCUAUGUCUCAUUGGCAAUGUUGAUUGAUAAAAGUAUUCUGGUUGCUUCUAACAAAUACUUAUGUUUCCUCUCUACUACACUCCUUCUUGAUGAAUGAUGCCUUUUUCUUUGAAAAAUCUUGUAGCUUCAUAACUUGUAAAUUUCAGACGAUUAUCGGAUCAUAAUAUUUUACGUGUGGAACUGAUUUUCUAUGAGUGAUACAAAAGAUUUUACUGUCUGUAAUACAUUACUUUUGCACCUCAACAGUUUAGUCCAUGUUGAUAUACUAUAAUUAUCAACCAUGGUAAUGAAGAAAUAUUGUUAUUAUGAGUAGGUGUAUAGUAAGGGCCCCCUAAAUCCAUAUGUAGUAUCUCAAAGAUGCUUUUUUGAAAUGUUGGUUCUUUGGGGGCAAAGAGUUCUGAUCUGUUUAGCUAUGGGGCAAACACUACAUGUGAAAGGUUAUUUAGGAGUGAAUUAAAGGGGAAUAGAUGAGAUAUCUUUCAUUUUCACAAAAGGUACAUGGCCUAAUGUAUUGUUCCAUAAGUGUUCAAUGGUGUUACUAUGAAAAGCUGAAGAUAAAAAAGAAAUUGAAGAAGAACCAACUGUUAUUAUAUGCAUAAGGAAAGUUUACUAACGAAGGAGAGUGAAAAUUAGGAGUCUCAUCAGUACAAGUAGGAGAAAAAUAACCCAAAAAUAUAAACCGUGUAGACGCACCAUGAUCGGUAAUACUAGGGCAGUAAUUGUGACACUUAACAUGAAAAAAUGCCCUGCAGUAAGCAAGAAACACUGUUGAAACCAAUAAUGCCUUUGAGAUGCAAUACCAGGCAAUGAACAAAAAUCAAUUGAAUUAAAACUAGGCACAAACAAAACUCUAUGCAAUGUUAAAGUUGGUGACAAAGAUACAUCAACAACUUCAGUAACUUUACCUUUGUAUCCAUUUGGUGGACUAACCCGGAAGGGACAAGGUAAAGUGUUAACAUUUUUUAGUAAGUCUUUAUUGUAGGUCAUGUGGUGUAAGGCUCCUGAGUCUAUUAUUCAUGAGUCAACACUAAGUUUGUAACGACCUAAAAAUUUGAUGAAAUAUGUGAAAUUUGUGAUUUCACUGUUUUAUCCCUCCCGGUAGUUGCAUUCUGAUAUUUCUGGGAUGUGGGAGUGAUUGGCAUGAUUUUCGAUGCAUUUUGGUAUCAUUUAUGCAAUAUUGUGAUUUUUUAUUGCUUCGAAAGCCUUAUUUUGAACUUAUGUGGAUAUCUUUUGAUCCAUACGACGGAUGGCUGAACGGAUUGCGCCAGCAGCUCCGGAAUAUUGAUUUUAGGCUAGAUAGACCUUUGGUUCGGUUCCCGAUGCACCCGAGCUCAUUUCGACCUAUUGGUCGAAAAGUUGAAAAAUUGAAAACAUGGGUGUGGGACCCAUCCGACUUCGCCAGCAGAUCCGGAAUGUCGAUUUUAGUGUGUUAGCAUGUUUGGUAUGAUUUUACGGCUUUUAAAUCUCAUUUCGACCCUCGGUUGGGAAAAUUGUGAUUUCAGGUUUCGGGGGUCAAUUUUGUGAAAACGAUAUUUUCUGAAAAAUAUGGUAUCUUCAUCGCGUCCGGAACGUCGAAUUUAGUAUGGUUGCAUAGUUCGUUCGUGUAUAUCGGACUCCAAACGAAUCUCGGGCACCCCGUCGAAGUCCAAUCAACCAACAAAAAAAUGCUAUUGCAGACUUUUUCACCCUUUUGGCCCAUUUUCAUCUUGACUCUUGAGAGCUAAACCCUAAAAUAGUGUGGGAGCUUAAAAGUAAAGUUUGUGGGAGCUUGGCAAGAUAGAUUAACACUCAUUUCUUGGUUUUAUUACGGAUUUAAGGUAAAAAUUCACUCAUUUCUUAGUAAUUUCUAGGCUAAUUUUCAAAAUCUCAAAAAUCUUAGGGCUUGAUUUUAAACCUCAUUUUCACUUGAAUAAUAUUUUUAUAUUAUAAUUACUAGUUUUUCAUCAAUUUAACCUUCAAAACAACUCCGAUUCUUGAUUUUAAUCUAGAUUUCAAAGAUUUUACCCGGUAAAGCUCAAAAAUGAAUUUUCUUCGAUUUGAACCCCGUUUUUUACUCGAUUUAACUUGAGGUUUCAGCUGUAGGUUCCUAAAAAUAUGGGGAACAUAUUUUUGAAGUAAAGUUCUGAUUUUUUUCUUCUUUUUCGGAAAUCCAUUUUGGGGGCCCAUUUUGACCCCGAACUAGAAGUAGUCAAUAUGGGUGUCGUUGGUUUUGUUUUGACGCAUAUAUUUCAUAUUUGAUGUUUUUAGUAGAGUUUGAGAUUGUUCGUGAAAAGUAAGGUCACGGGUUCAAGAGUAGCGAACCGAUUUCGGCUUUAGAGAUAGGUUAUGGCUUAACUCUUCAGACUAGGCUGGGUAGUAAAUGAUGGUACAAAAUACAUGUUAAGGGUGGAAACUAAUCAUGAAAAAUGGCUAUCUAUGUGUUAUGCCCGUGUGGGGGCCUAUAUGUGAUGUAUUGUCAAAAUUGAGAUAUUAUGUGAUAUGUUUGACCGUGUGGGAUCCUAUGUGAUAUUGCCUUAAAUACAUGUGAAUAAUUGCAUUAUGUUGUUUAAUGUGGUAUCAUUGGUGUAUUAUGAUUAUAUCAUACUUUAUUGGCAUAUGAGACGUUGAAAUUCAUUGAUAAAACGAAAAUAAUAAGUGGAUAUUGGCUCAUAUGGUUGUGGGAAUGUAUCAUUGUGGUUGGUUAUGGAAGUAUAUCAUGUGAUUGGUUGUGGAAAUACUCAUUGUGAUUAGUUGUGAGCAUUACAUCUUCAUAUCAUACUCAUUCAUAAAACAUUGGUACCACCGUGACAACAUCUGAGAAACGCUAGCAACACUUUUUUUAAAAAAUAUUGUAACACCUUAUAAAACUCUUUCCGAGGGAUAUGCCGGAAAGGAGAUAUGAGAUAUGUCGAUUGUAUAUGGGUUGACGAACCCCCCAUAGGUCCUACGUCGGGAAGUUUUAGCUCCGUAGGUGUAUACAGAGAUUGUGCGACGAUCCCGGAGGUUGUGCGACGACCUCGUGCAUCAUCAUCAUUAUCAUCAUAUACAUUGCACUUACUUUAUUGUGUUUAUGUCGUGUUGUAUUGCCUUAUUGACUUGUCAUCUGUGUAUUUGUCUUACCUCCCUUUACUUGUAUUUGAUGAUCUUGUAUCUACGUGUUCUCUCUUGUUCUAUUUAUAUGUGACAUAAUGUAUACUUGUGUUCAAUAUCUUGAUGUGUUGUUGUAAUAUAUGUGAGAUAUAUUAGAACUGUUAGUGCAAGCGAUGUGGGCUACCGUUGUGGGACAUUUCCUGAUUGUAGGUGACGUGAUCUUAGUGUAUAUUUUGUAUGCUUUAUGUACUACUUUGCUUGGUCGGCCUGUGAUACCUACUGAGUACAAGUGGACCGUACUCAUACCUACUGCGCCCUUUCAGUGUAGGUCUUAGCUCGAGUGCGCCUCAGCUUGAUUGACUCAGGUGAUUGUUGGAGCUUCCAAGGUAGCGGAUUGGACAUUCAUGCGUCCGAAGUUCACGUUUAUCUUUUUAUAGUUAUGUCUUUAUUAGUAUUCGGAGACAGUUAUUAUUCCUUUGUGGUUAGUUUUUUUUGAUACAUUUGACUCUUGGAUUUUAUUAGUAGUUCUUACACUAUUGACACCUGGUUUUAGGCAUAAUUGGUGUUUUGGAUAAAUUCUUUCUGCAUUGUUAUGAUUACUUAUAUGAUUCGGCUUCAUUCUAGAAGCCUUACCGUGCGAUAUUUCUGUCUUUUAUUCUUUUCAUAUCAGUUUGGGUGAUAGGCUUAUUUGUCAAGGUACGCCGCGACAAGUGCCAUCUUGACCCUCAUUUUUGGGUUGUGACAAAUUGGUAUCAGAGCAGCCAGGUUUCAUUGGUCUCAAUGGUGUAAGAACAGGAUGUCUAAUAGAGUCUCGCAGAUUGGUACGUAGACGUCCGUAUCUAUCUUCGAGAGUCUAUAGGACAUCUUUAGGAAACUUUCCUCAUUUCAUUCUUUAUCGCGUGAAGUUCUUUCAUACCUUUUAUUCUGAGUUGUGUUUCACUCUUUCUACGCGAAUGGAGUUGCUUAUGCUACUAUCAGUUAAGAGAUGCUGUGAGAAAUUAGUGGAUAUAAUUUGUCGGUUGUAGGCUUGUUGAUGCUCCUGAGUUGUCAUGGGAUUAGUUUAUUGAUGCCUUUCUGGAGAGAUUUGUGCCUUUCAAUUUGAGAGAUAGUAUGCAGGACGAGUUUGAUCAUUUGGAGCAGGGCUCCAUGACAGUUGUUGAGUAUGAGGCAUGCUUUCAUACCCUGUCCAAAUAUUCCUAUGAUAGUAUUUCCACCGAGUUUGAGUAGAUACGAAGUUUGUAAAGGGUUUGAAUCUCUCUUUUUAGUUGGUUACGUCUCAGAUGAUUGUGAUUAGGGAUUCUUUUUAGAGUAUUGUGGAUUAUGCUAAGAUGACAGAGGGUAUUCUUAGUGCAUCUCAAGGAGGCGCCAAGAGGGUGCAUCAUUUUGGUAAGUUCAGGAGUCAAACCUCUCGAGGUAGAGAUUUUAGAGGUUCUCGUGGAUGUCAUGGUAGGCCAGUGCAGGUGACUUUAUAGAGUUCAGCUGGUGGAUUUUCUAAUUCAGCAGUUCAGGGUGACCGUUCGGGCUUAGUUGUACUUUCUCUUGUUGAGACUGGUCAUAGAGGUUGCUAUGUGUGUGAUGGGGUUGGCCAUAUGGCUAAGGAUUGUUCUUACUGUUAGAGCUACUCCUAUUUCAGCUGUGAGAGGUAGGGGUUCUACCAAAUGUGCAAUAGGUAGAAAUGGUAGAGCCGUGUUGGUGGUCGUGGGGCUACUUAGCCAGUUGGUAGUCGUGGAUAGUGUUACGCUAUAUCAGUCAGAUUUGAGGCGGAGGCUUCAGAUGUUGUGAUCGCAGGUACUGCUCCGUUUGUUUUAGACCUGCAUCUUAUUAUUUGAUCUUGGAUCGACUCUCUUAUGCAUCUGUGUAUUUUGCGUCGGGUUUUGAUUCUGUUACUGAGCUUCUUUCCAUGCUUAUUCAUGUAUCUACCCCGGUAGUAAUUCUUUAGUAGUGGAUCAGGUGCAUCGAUCUUGUGUUGUGACUUAUGCCGGGCGUGUGACUUUGAUAGACUUGCUUGUAUUAGACAUGAUCAAUUUUGAUGCUAUUUUGGGUAUAGAUUGGUUGGCUCCUUCUCAUGCCGUCCUAAAUUGUUAUGCCAAGACUGUGACUUUAGCUUCGUCGAGUGAGCCAAGAAUAACUUGGAAGGGUACACUUCAUUCGGGUCCUAAGAGGGUCAUAUCUUAUGUUCAGGCUCGUAAAUUGGUUGAGAGGGGAUGUUUGUAUUACUUGGACCAUAUUUGUGACACAAGUGUUGUUUCGCCUCAUUCCUUGGAUUCUGUCCGUGUUGUUCGUGAGUUUAUGGAGGUGUUCCUUACGGACUUACCUAGUAUGCCUUCGGGUCAAGAUAUUGAUUUUAUUAUAGAUGUUGAGUCGGGCACCAAGCCCAUUUUUAUUCCUCCUUAUAGGAUGGCCCCAACAGAGCUGAAAGGGCUGAGGAUCAGUUGCAGGAGUCGUUGGAUAAGAGAUGUAUUCGACCUAGUAUUUCACAUUGGGGUGUGCCUGUCUUGUUUGUGAAGAGAAAGAAUAGGUCUAUACGGAUGUGUAUUGAUUAUCAAUAGUUGAACAAGGUGAUGGUUAAGAAUAAGUAUCCUCUUCCUCGCAUCGAUGAUUUGUUUGAUCAGCUUCAGGGUGCUGCAGUGUUUUCAAAGAUUGAUUUAAGGUUCAGUUAUCACCAGUUGAGGAUUAGAUCUUUGGAUAUUUCGAAAACUGCUUUUCGGACUCGAUAUGGUCAUUAUGAGUUCUUGGUCAUGUCUUUUGGGUUGAUCAAUUCCCCUGCCACAUUCAUGGAGUUGAUGAACUGGGUGUUUCAACAGUAUCUUGACUCCUUUGUUAUAUUAUUUAUAGAUGAUAUCUUGGUUUAUUCCAAGAGUGAGGUUGAGCAUGAGGAGCAUUUGUGGAUUAUGCUUUAGAGAUUGAGGGAUAAGAAGUUGUAUGCUAAGUUGUCUAAGUGCGAGUUUUGGUUGGAGUCAGUUUCUUUCUUAGAUCAUGUGAUGACUAAGCGAGGUAUUAUGGUUGAUCCAGCUAAGGUUGCAGCGGUUUGUGAUUGGACUAGACCUACUUUGCCACCGAGAUUCGGAGUUUUACUGGCUUGGCUGGGUAUUAUUAGUGUUUUGUUGAGGGUUUCUCUUCCAUUACAGCUUUGUCGACCAAGUUGACUCAGAAAAAAUUUUCUAUCAAGUGGUCUGAUGCUUGUGAGGCGAGCUUCCAAAAACUCAAGGACUUGUUGACUUCAGCUUCUAUAUUGGCUUUUUCCAAGGAGGGUGUGGGUUUUAUUGUCUUUUGUGAUGCUUCAGGUGUUAGGUUAGGUGUUGUGUUGAUGCAGGAGGGCAAGGUAAUUGUGUAUGCAUCUCGUCAAGAGUAGAGCCUCAUGAGAGGAAUUAUUCUACCCAUGAUUUAGAGCUAUGCGCAGUUGUGUUUGCCUUGAGUUGUAGAGGCACUACUUGUAUAGAGUUUGUUGUAAGGUCUUCUCAUAUCAUCGUAGACUUUGGUACUUCUUUACCAGUGAGAUUUUCAUAUGAGAUAGCACUGUUGGCUUGAUUUGCUUAAGGAUUAUGACUUGACUUUCUGUACCAUCAGGGCAAGGCUAAUGUGGUUACGGAUGACUUGAGCCAGAAGUAAACUAGCAUGGGUAGCUUGGCGCAUCUUUUGACCCAGGAGAGGCUUUUGACCUUAGAGAUCCAAUUUUUAGCUAACCAUAUGGUUAGACUUGAUAUUUCGACACCUGGGUGUGUUUUGUCAUUUAUGGAGGUUAGAUCUUCUUUGAUGGAGUAGAUUCGAGUUCAUCAAUUUGACGAUGUUGGAUUGAGGUUGAUUCGAGAGAAGAUGUUGAGUAGAGAGGUUAAGGAAGCCUCACUUGAUUCAGAUGGAGUUUUGAGGAUUGGGGGCUGAGUUUAUGUGCCGAGAGUGGUGAUCAGAUUAGGUUGAUCUUGGAGGAGGCCCAUUGUUCUAGCUAUUUUAUCCAUCCAUGUGUGACUAAGAUGUAUCGUGAUUUGAGGCAACACUACUGGUGGGGUGGUAUGAGGAGAGAUAUAGCGAAUUUUGUAGCCCGUUGCCUAUGUUGUCCGUAGGUGAAGGCCGAGCAUAUGAGGCCUGGUGGAUUGUUGCAGAGGUUACCCAUGUGGAAGUGGGAAUGAAUCACUAUGGACUUUCUGACGGGGUUGCUUCGUACAACUCAUAGUUCUGACAGUGUUUGAGUCAUCGUGGAUCGAUUGACCAAGUCAACUCAUUUUAUUUUGGUUUAGGUCUCAUUCAGUACCGAGAGGUUGGCCUGUAUCUACAUUCGUGAGAUUGUGCGUCUUCAUGGUGUGCCGGUGUCCAUUAUUUCAGAUCGAGGUCUUGUGUUCACAUCUCACUUUUGGAAGACUUUUCAGGAUGAGUUGGAUACUUGGGUCGAUCUUAGCACAGCGUUUCACGCCCAAAUUGAUGCCAGUUAGAGCAGACUAUCCAGGUUUUGGAGGAUAUGCUUCACGCGUGCGCGAUGGAUUUUGAUGGCCAAUGGGAGCAGCAUUUGACUUUAGCAGGGUUUGCAUAUAGUAAUAGCUACCAUUCUAAUAUUGAUAUAGCUCCUUUUGAGGCGUUGUAUGGUAGGCGUUGUCGUUCCCCAGUAGGUUGGUUUAAUGUUUAUGAGGUGAGACCUUAAGGUACGGUCUAGCUUCGUAAGUCUUUGGAUAGGGUCCGGAUCAUUCAGGAUAGACUUAGAGUGGCUCAGAGUAGGCAGAAGCAUUAUGCUGAUCGUAGGCUUCUUGCCAUGAGAUUUGAUGUUGGUGAUUGCGUUUUCCUUCGAGUUUUACCCAUGAAGAGUGUGAUGAGGUUUGAGAAGAGGGGCAAGCUUAGCCCCAGGUAUAUUGGUCCAUUUGAGAUUCUUCAGACUAUUGGUGAUGUGGCUUAUGAGUUGGCUUUACCCCCCUGAUCUAUCAGUUGUUCAUUCAGUUUUCAUGUUUCUAUGCUUCAUCACUAUAUUCAUGAUAGUCUCAUAUCAUUCAUUGGGAUUCGGUUCGGUUAGAUGAGCAGUUGUCCUUUGUUGAGGAACCAAUUUCCAUUUUGGCUAGGGAUGUUAGGCGGUUGCACUCUAGAGUGAUCCUUGUGGUUAAGGUCCUGUGGCGACAUCGACUUGUAGAUGAAGCUACUUGAGAGGGUGAAUCUGAUAUGCGUAGUUCCUAUCCCUAGUUUUUCAUUGAUUCAGGUAUUUCCUUGACUUAGUUCGAUGACGAACUAGAUUUUUAGUAAUGGAUGAUGUAACGACCUAAAAAUUUAAUGAAAUUUGUGAUUUUGUGUGAUUUGACUGUUUGACCCCUCCCCGUAGUUGCAUUAUGAUAUUUCUGGGGCAUGGGAGUCAUUGACAUGAUUUUCGAUGUAUUUUGGUAUCAUUUAUGCAAUAUUGUGAUUAUUUAUGGCUUCGAGAGUCUUAUUUUGGACUUAUAUGGAUAUGUUUUUAUCCGUGCGACGCGUGGCUUAACGAACUGCGCCAGCAGCUCCGGAAUAUCGAUUUUAGGCUAGAUAGACCUUUGGUUCGGGUCCCGAUUCACCCGAGCUCAUUUCAACCUAUUGGUCUGAAAGUUAGAAAAUUCGAAAUAUGUGUGGGACCCACAUUUGAGCGAAACGAUCUCGGACGAAAAAUCCAACUUUGCCAGCAAAUCCGGAAUGUCAAUUUUAGGGUGUUAGCAUGUUUGGUAUGAUUUUACGGCUUUUAAAUCUCAUUUCGACCCUCGAUUUGAAAAAUUGUGAUUUCGAAUUUCGAGGGUCAAUUUUGUGAAAACGACACUUUCUGGAAAAUCUAGUAUUGCCAUCGCGUCUGGAACGUCGAAUUUAGUAUGGUUGCAUAAUUUGUUUGUGUAUAUCGAACUCCGAACAAAUCCCGAACAUCCCGUCGAAGUUCGAUCAACCAACAAAAAAAUGCUUUUGCAGAUUUUCUGCAAUAAAUAGCAGUUCUUUUCACUCUUUUGGCCCAUUUUGCUCAUUUUAAUCUUAACUCUUGAUAGUUAAAUCCUAAAAUAGUGUGGAAGCUUAAAAGUAAAGUUUGUGGGAGCUUGACAAGCUAGAUUAACACCCAUUUCUUGGUUUUAUUACGGAUUUAAGGUAAGAAUUCACCCAUUUCUUAGUAAUUUCUUGACUAAUUUCUCAAAACCCCAAAAAUCUUAGGGCUUGAUUUUAAACCCCAUUUUCACCCAUUAUCACUUGAAUAUUAUUUUUAUCUUAUAAUUACUAGUUUUUCAUCAAUUUAACCUUCAAAUCAACUCUGAUUCUUGAUUUUAACCCAAAUUUCAAAGAUUUUACUCGAUAAAGCUCAAAAAUGAUUUUUCUUUGAUUUGAACCCCGAUUUUUACUCAAUUUAACUUGGGGUUUCAGCUGUAGGUUACUAAAAAUAUGGGGAACAUAUUUUUGAAGUAAAGUUCUGAUUUUUUCCUUCUUUUUCGGAAACUCAUUUUUGGGGCCCAUUUUGACCCCGAACUAAAAAUAGUCAAUAUGGGUGUCGUUGAUUUUGUUUUUACACAUAUAUUUCAUUUUUGAUGUUUUUAGUAGAGUUCGAGAUUGUUCGUGAAAAGUAAGGUCACGGGUUCAAGUGUAGCUGACCGAUUUCGGCUUUAGAGGUAGGUUAUGGCUUAACUCUUCAGACUGGGUUGGGUAGUAAAUGAUGGUACAAAAUGCAUGUUAAGGGUGGAAACUAAUCAUGAAAAAUGGUUAUCUAUGUGUUGUGCCCGUGUGGGGGCCUAUAUGUGAUGUAUUGUUGAAAUUGAGAUAUUAUGUGAUAUAUUUGACCGUGUGGGGUCCUAUGUGAUAUUGAUAGCCUUAAAUACAUGUGAAUAAUUGUAUUGUGUUGUUUAAUGUGAUACCAUUGGUGUAUUGUGAUUAUAUCAUACUUUAUUGGCAUAUGAGACAUGUGAAAAUUAAUGGAUGAAACAAAAAUAAGAAAUGGAUAUUGACUCAUGUGGUUGUGGGAAUGUAUCAUUGUGGUUGGUUGUGGAAGUAUAUCAUACGAUUGGUUGUGGAAAUACUUAUUGUGAUUGAUUGUGAGCAUUACAUCUCCAUAUCAUACUCAUUCAUAAAACAUUGGUACCACCUUGGCAACAUCUGAGAAACACUGACAACACCUUUUUGAAAAAAUAUUGUAACACCUUAUAAAACCUUCUUCGAGGGAUAUGCCGGAAAGGAGAUAUGAGAUAUGUGGAUUGUAUAUGGGUUGACGAAACCCCCCAUAGGUCCUACGUCGAGAAGCUUUAGCUCCGUAGGUGUAUACGGAGAUUGUGCGACGAUCCCAUGCAUUAUCAUCAUCAUCAUAUACAUUGCACUUACUUUAUUGUGUUUUAUGUCGUGUUGUAUUGCCUUAUUGACUUGUCAUCUAUGUAUUUGUUUUACCUCCAUUUACUUGUAUUUGAUGAUCUUGUAUCUACAUAUUCUCUCUUGUUCUAUUUAUAUGUGACAUAAUGUAUACUUGUGUUCAAUAUCUUGAUGUGUUGUUGUAAUAUAUGUGAGAUAUAUUAGAACUGUUGGUGCAAGCGAUGUGGGCUACCGUUGUGGGACAUUUUCUUAUUGCAGGUAACGUGUAUAUUUUAUAUGCUUUAUUUACUACUUUGCUUGAUCGGCCUAUGAUACCUACUGAGUACAAAUGGACCGUACUCAUACCUACUGCGCCCUUUCGGUGCAGGUCUUAGUUCGAGUGCGCCUCAGCUUAAUUGACUCGGACAAUUAUUGGAGCUUCCAAGGUAGUGGAUUGGACAUUCAUGCGUCCAAAGUUCACCUCUAUCUUUUUAUAGCUGUUAUGUCUUUAUUAGUAUUGGAGACAAUUACUUUUCCUUUGUGGUUAUUUUUUUUGAUACAUUUGACUCUUGAAUUAUAUUAGUAGUUCUUACACUAUUAACACCUGGUUUUGGGCAUGAUUAAUGUUUUGGAUAAGUUCUUUCCGCAUUGUAAUGAUUACUUAUAUGGUUCGGCUUCAUUCUAGAAGCCUUAUCAUGGGAUAUUUCUGUCUUUUAUUCUUUUCAUAUCAGUUUGGGUAAUAGGCUUACUUGUCAAAAGGUACGCUGCAACAAGUGUCAUCAUGACCCUCGUUUUUGGGUUGUGACAAAGUUUAACACAUUUGAAUGAAAGAUCUCCAAUUUCAAUCACAGAAGAGUAACAUGCCAAGAUACCUGCAAGAUUAACAGCUCCACUAGGGGAUUGUUUGAGUUCUCCUGUCCACUACCUCUAGAAAAACUUUCCGCGUGUUGAGUGUAAUUUGUCCUAUAGCCUAUGCAUUUGAGCCAAAUGAUUGUGAGGUCUGAGUUCUUGCUUCUCCUCCUAAUAUAAGAUGGCAAAAGUCUUAAGCCAUAGUAAGUAAUAGACUUAUCAUCAGUAUAUUUCCUCUUACUGCAGUAUAGGCUUUAUUAAGUUCAGUUACGAACUGAAUCAGUCGCCUGUCCUGCUCAAUCUUGUGUAGACAUGCCUUUCCUCCACAAGUAUGUAGAGAUGUACAUUAUGUGUGGGCAUAACACUUUUUAGUUCUUCCCAGAGUUUUCUCAUCUUGUUAUAAUAUAAAGUGCUAUCCAUGCUUCUUUGAAAGAGGUCAUUCAAAAUUUCCGAAAUACAAAUAUUAAAAAUCAAAUUAUUUACAAUACAGCCCUCCAAUCAUUUACAAACAUUAAAAAUCAAAUCAAAUUAUUUACAAUACAACCCACCAAUAAUUUAAUAUACAAUCAACCAACCACCAUAAGAAUACAAACAUUAAAAAUUAAAUUAUUUACAAAAUUUAUCGAGGUUUCAAAUCCAAACUAUAAAACAUACAAAAGACUAAAAACUACAGCUCAUCAUCCGCAUCUUCAUUCUCAGCCUCACCCAUUCUAUUAUCAAUAUUUCGUUGACACCCAUUCUAUUAUCAAUAUUUCGUUGAUAUAUCCGGUUAUAAUCAGGUUCCAUCUACACAAUCAAUCCAAUGCAAAUAAUUAGUUCAAGUCACAAAAGUUCACAUUUUAAAUACCUACACCUAAACAUUUUCAAGUCACUAAUUCACUUCACAAGUUACCAAACUAUACUUAAUUCAAAAUGAAAAGUUUACGUUUUAAGUACCUACACUUAAACAUUUUGAAGUAACAAAUUCACUUGUCAAGUGACCACAGUUUACUAAAAUCAAAACGCAAGUUCACAUUUCAAGUACCUAAAUUCAAAACAAAAGUCACAAAUAUAUAAUUCAAGUACCUAAACAUUUUCAAGUUACCAACCUAAACUAAUUUCAAAAUAAAAAGUUCACAUUUCAAGUACCUACACGUAAACAUUUCAAGUCACUAAUUCACUUCACAGGUUGUCAAACUAAACUUAAUUCAAAAUGAAAAGUUCACGUUUCAAGUACCUACACUUGAACAUUUUCAAGUCACUAAUUCACUUCUCAAGUGACCACACUUUACUAAAAUCAAAACGCAAGUUCACAUUUCAAGUACCUAAAUUCAAAACAAAAGUCAUUAAUUUGUAAUUCAAGUAACUACAAUUAAACAUUUCAAGUCACUAAGUCACUUCACAAGUUACCUAACUAAACUAAAUUCAAAAUGAAAAGUUCACAUUUCAAGUACCUAUACAAAUAAACAUUUUCAAGUCACUAAUUCACUUCACAAGUUACCAAACUAAACUUAAUUCAAAAUGAAAAGUUGACAUUUCAAGUACCAACACGUAAAACAUUUUCAAGUCACUAACUCACAUCUCACACUUAACUAUAUUCAAAACACAAGUCCACCUUUCAACACAAGUCCACCUUUCAAGUAACGACACUUACAAAUUUUCGACUCACUAAUUCACUUCUCAAGUGACCACACUUAACUAAAUUCAAAACACAAGUUCACCUUUCAAGUAACUACAAUUAAACAUUUCAAGUCACUAAGUCGUCAUCACUUCACAAGUUAUCUAACUAAACUAAAUUCAAAAUGAAAAGUUCACAUUUCAAGUACCUACACUUAAAUAUUUUCAAGUCACUAACUCACUUCUCAAGUGACCAUACUUAACUAAAUCCAAAACACAAGUCCACAUUUCAAGUACCUACACUUAAACAUUUUCGACUCACUAACUCACUUAUCUAGUGACCACACUUAACUACAUUCAAAACACAAGCCCACCUUUCAAGUAACUACACUUAAACAUUUUCAAUUCACUAAUUCACUUCUCAAAUGACCACACUUAACUAAAUUCAAAACACAAGUCCACAUUUCAAGUACUUACACUUAAACAUUUUCAAGUCACUUAUUCAAUUCUCUAGUGACCACGCUUAACUAAAUUCAAAACACAAGUUCCCCUUUCAAGUAACUACACGAACAUUUUCGACUACCUAAUACACUUCUCGAGUGACCACACUUAAGUAAAUUCUACACAUUCAUGACAAUUUAUAUGUCAAAAGUCAAGACUUUAUUUACCUAUUAACUUUGUAGCUCUUAAAACCUAAUGUUACUUCCUAUAUUGUGUAACUAUCUCAUUACAGCUUCCUAAUAGUCACAUUCUUGCAAAUUUGUACCCACUAACACAAAAAAAUAAUGCACAUUAAUAAUAUAAUUUCUUCAAUAUUAACAUGUACACCAAUAAUAAGUUAUCCAGUAAACUUCCAUAACAAAACAAAGACUAUAUUCAAAAUGAAAAGUUCACAUUUCAAUUACCUACACCUAAACAUUUUCAAGUCAUUAAGUCACUUCACAAGUUACCAAACUAAACUAAAUUAAAAAUGAAAAGUUCACAUUUCAAGUACCUACACUUAAACAUUUUCUAGUCACUAACUCACUUCUCAAGUGACCACACUUAACUAUAUUCAAAACACAAGUCCACCUUUCAAGUCCCUACACCUAAACAUUUUCAAGUCACUAAUUCACUUCACAAGUUACCAAACUAAACUAAAUUCAAAAUGAAAAGUUUAGGAAUAUGAACUAAUAAGGACCUCAAGUAAAGAAAUAAUCAAAACUCCACUCAAAUUUAGUAUUUGAAAAUCCCUCCAUAUGCACACAAAUUUAAGUUCACAUGUGUACUUCAUGAAUAUCAACAAAUAGUUUCUCCCUAAGAUUCUUUACAAAUUUCAAGUUGGCUACAAAGCCUAUCAACUUGUAUACUUUUUACUCUUUCUUCAAAUAAAUUUCAACUUAAGGUGCAAUAUUAACAGGUAGCACCAGAAACAAUAUUAACAAUAGCACCUCUUUUCCUCUGAACCAUAUCAGGUAAAACAACUUGAUUAACCUUAGUAGUUCCUUCAACAUUAACUUUAAUCAAAUCAGCAAACAAUUUAUCAUCCACUUAAUGAAAAAAUCUAGCAUAAGGAUAUGAAACCCCAACGUUAUUAAUCAAAACCCCAAUAUCUAAUCCUUCAAUUAUCUCCUUAAUCUUCUUAACCCCUUCAUCCAAAUCACCCGAGAAAGCAACCACCACUGUCUUAAUCUCGAAUUUCCCAUAUUUAACCUUAAUUGAAUCAAACACAUCCUUAAGUUUAUCAGGAUUACGACCCACAAGUAUUAAAUUAACAAGUCCACCUUUUAAGUACAUCAGAGUGCCUAGCCAUUAGCAAACUAUUCACCUCUCUCAUAAGGCAUAUUUUAUACAACAGAAGAAAAUUAAAGUCAUGGAUGAUUAAGCCACCUUCUGGAUAUGAACUUCACUUUUGAAUCGAAGAAACAAUUAGAACUACUAAUUCCAUUUCAUUAACCAAUUAAAGCGCCAUUAAAGUAUGUCGGACACUACAUCCAUUCAAUAAGCAAUUUUAACUAUCAUAUGAUACAACUACAACAUAGACAAUACAAUAUUAAAGUAAGAGUAAAUCUUACCAAAGCUUGGCAUAUCCGCAGUUGAUUGAGAUUGCGAGGAUGAAGCUGGUGCAGAUUCUUUGUCAGACAACAAAAAACUUGUAGAUGGAGCAACAACACGAGUAGUUGAAGCUGAAGAAGUGGUCGCCGAAAAUGUCAGAGAAAAACCAGUCCCAGAAGUUGUAGAAGAAGCUCCAGUAGGAUCAAGCCAUGUGCCACCUGAUGCUCAACCUACUCGCCACAUGGAGAUCGGAGAGGCGGUGGCUCGUGGGAGUUCGCCGGCGAGGAGGGGAGAGAGAGAUCCUAGAGAGAGAGGAGCUGCGGCUGUUGAAGUGAGAUUAGGGUUAGGGAUUGUGUUUUUGGUAUAUUAAAAGGAAAGAGGGGAAAG
rnacentral:lncRNA from 1 species